ACCCAUUUUCUCUACCAAACCCAUUAUCUUCUCACUCAUCCCCAUUACAUUAAAUAAAUAUAUCACACCACCCCAUUAUAUUUUGUCCCCCAUGCUUCACUAAACAAAUACAAGAUUCCUCCCCACUAAAUUUUGUCUUGUCCCCCCUUUAUAUUAAACAACUAUAUCAUAACCCACCCCAUUACAUUUUGUCCCCCAUGCUUCAUAUAAAAAAUUACAAAAUGUACAAUUCCAAAACUACCCCUCCGACCUUAUUACAAAUUACUAUUUUACCCCCGAACGUACUACAAAUUACCAAACUAGCCCAUCAGAUAUAACAAUCAAUUAAUCAAACUUAACCAAAAUAUAGACAGUAUGAUCAAUUUCUAACAAUGUCUAAACAACAAAUCACAUGAACAUGAUUUCUUCAAUAUUUCAACAACAAAUCACAUGAACAUGAUUUCUUCAACAAUUCAACAACAAAUCACAUGAACACAAAUUGAACAACAAAGAACAACUAAAAUUUGAUUGAACAAUAUUUUAGCAACAAACAAUCCUAUUUUCUGAUUCAACAACAACAACAAACAAGUGUAUUUAGAUUUCUAAAUUCAAUCAUAUGGAACUUAAAAUUAACUCUAACAACAUUACAACCAACAAUUCCUAUAUUAAAACUUAGNNNNNNNNNNNNNNNNNNNUUAANNUUCAAUUUGUAUCUCACCAACAUUAGACUAACAACUUUUACCUAAACAAUAAAACAAACAUGAAAUAAACAUGAAAAACCACUAAUUAAAUUUCCAUUUGAAAUCUGAAAAUUAAUUCAAUCAAAACACACGAACAAACUAAAAAUUAAUUCAACGAUGAACAACGAACAAAACAAGAAUCAAAUAUUUAACGAUUUUAACUUUGAGAAAUAUAAAAACGAAAUAUGGACAAAAAUAAAACUCAAAAACAACUAACCAUAGAUGAAUCAACGACGAACUCGAUCGUAAACAAACCUGUCCGGGUUUCGACUCAAAUAAAAAUAAACCUUCGAACUUUGACGAGACGAAGAAGAUGAAGCAACGUGAAGCAGAAACACGAAGCAACUACUGCGACUAGCAGCAGUAGUCCAUCGAGUAAGGAAGACGAAGCAGCAUGAAGCAUUAGCAGUGGGGAGCAGAAACGGAGGAAGCAACAUCGCUUCACAGUAGAGCUGGUCGACGCACCUGUGCAUGCUCGUCCAUGGUGGAGAAGCAGCAGCUCGGAGGAGAAGGAACAGCAGCAACAUGAGUUGAAUAAACAUGGACGCCGAUGGUCAUUUGGACGUGACGAUGACGAAGAUAACAAUUAAGCUAUACGCGGCCAGCAGUUCACGUAGCUCGCGACUAGCUAUAUCGCGCGACAGCAACAGUUCAUGCCUGGGCAAUAACCUGGCGACUGGGUUCAUCUGGGAUUCUGUCCGGCGAUGAGGUCGUCCAAUAGAUGGUCGUUCAUGGGACGCAAAGGGGAAGGAAGAAGAAAAAGCAGAUGCGAUGGAGUUUUUUUUUUUCUGUUUUUGAGAUCGUUUAUGGUUUUUGAGGUCGUUCAUGGGAGGGCAGCUUGGAGGUGUUGGUGCGUGUGUGUGUGAGUGUGACGUUAGGAAGACAUGGUGGAGCUUUGAGGGGGAAGCCAUGGAUGACCUUGGAGAAACUUUGGAGGAAGAAGAAGAAGAUAGAAAGGGGGGUGGCGGAAGAGCUAGUCUUUUAGGGUUUUUCUUUGGUUUUUUUUUGUUUUGUUUUGUUUUUAUGAAAAAUGAAAGACAAAUGGGGUUUGGGUCUUUUGGGUUAUGGACUGGGUCGACCUAGUUCGAAAUGGACUGGGUCGUUUGGGAAGAUUGGGUCAUUUUUUGGGUCUGUGGCUUGAAAUCGAAGAAGAGGCCCAAUUCCGACUUUCUUUAUUUUUUGCUCUCUUUUCUUCUUUUAUUUUUCUAAAACUAAAUUAUAAAAAUACUUAAACUACUAUUUAAGAACUAAAUUAAGUUAUAAAAGCGCAAAUUAACUCCCAAUAACAAUUAACGCACAAUUAAGUAAUAAUUAAGCAUAAAAUUGUAUAUUUGGACCUUAAAUGCUAAAAAUGCAAACGAUGCCUAUUUUUGUAAAUUUUUUAUUUUUUGUAAACAAGCUUAAUUACUAACAAUUGUAGAAUUAAAUCCUACAUGCGAAAUGCGACAUAUUUUUGUAUUUUUAAUAAUUUAACAAAUAAACAUGCACAGACAAAUACAAAUAAUUAUUCAAAAAUAUCACAAAAUAUCACAAAAAUUACACACCAAGGAAAAUUAUUUUAUUUUUGAUUUUUUUGGGAGUAAUUCUCGUAUAGGGCAAAAAUCACAUGCUUACACCUUUAAUCAAUUAGUGGAGAGGAGUUGUACUGAAUAACACAAAUAGCUUAUGGCCCCUUCAAAUUUUUAGUUUUCCUUUAAAAUAAGUCGAGGUGCGCCACGCCAAAUAAAAUCUCAAAUGUGUGUCCUUCAAUUAUUUAUUUCUUUUAAAUCCUUAGGACUCGAGGCACGCCAUUUAGCGAAUUUCCCAUGGCCCUCACAAAGUUAAGAACACGUAGUUGCUUUAGGCGCGUUAUUUUAACAACUUACCUUCCUAAACUCGGGUGUGCAUUUCAUGUGACCCAAAUCCAAAUCUUAACACGUUGACUAAAAUGUGUUUAGGAUUGCGGGUGCAUUUCAUGUGGCGCGGUCCAAAGGCACAUUUUCAACGACGUUCAAUCUUCUUUAAAAAUUAAUUAAAAGAGGUUAAAACUAAAAAUCUGCACAUAGGUUCAAAAUUGUUUAAAAUCAGAUAAUUAAGCCGAAUAUAACAGUUGAGCGACCGUGCUAGAACCACGGAACUCGGGAAUGCCUAACACCUUCUCCCGGGUUAACAGAAUUCCUUACUCGAAUUUCUGGUUCGCGGACUGUUAAACAGAGUCAAGCUUUUCCUCGAUUCGGGAUUUAAUACCGGUGACUUGGGACACCAUAAAUUAUCCCAAGUGGCGACUCUGAAUCAAUUAACAAUAAAUCUCGUUUCAAUUGUCCCUUAAUUGGAAAAACUCCUUUAUACACUUUCCAGAGGGUGUAGGUAAAAAGGAGGUGUGACAGCUCUAGCGACUCUGCUGGGGACUCGAACCCAGAAUCUCUGGUUCAGGAUUCAAGAAUUCGAGCUUAGAAUAAUUGUUAUAGUUGGCUUUAUCCAUUAUCCGAUUCUGUUACAUGAUUUGGGCCUUAUGUGCUAAUUGAUCGCUUUUACCGCUUUGAUAUUCUGUGAACUGUAUAUAAACUGUUGUGAAAUCCAUCUUCUCUAUGAGUAUUCUAAAUCAUGAAGAAGUGUGCACUUCGUGUGACUUAUUUUUCGUUAGAGUCAUAUUCCAAAUUUAGAACGAGGUUCGGACAAGUUGCAAAGCCGGUGAAGCUUCUGUAUUCCCGGUACGCUGCCCCUCCCCCCCCCCCCCCGGCUCGAGUUGUCCGCUCGGGUAAGCCAGGUUUAGAACAAAUAAACCCAAGUUUUUAAACCUAGUAUAACAAUACCUCAUGUCGGAUCCCUAGUAAGAAUGUUUGUUUGCAUCAUGUGCAUUUUGACUUUGGAGACUCAACACAGGGGUUGGAUCUGUCUAGGACAGGUGCACCCGAAAUAAAAAGACCAUCUUGAUGCAUCUUACUUGCUACUUGUGCAUUUAUUUGCUUUGAACCUGCAUGUUGACCGGCUUAUGAAUAUCAGGAAAAGUCGAGAAAAGGAAAUAGCAGUAUAAAAGGUUAAGAGGAUUGAUCACCUCUUUUGAGAAAAACCAAAUGUCCAAAUAGUGCUGAAACUCUGCCGAAUUUUUGAGAAAAAAUGAAAUUAAAAAAAGAGAAAGGGUUUUGUUUUCAAAAAUAGUUUGUUUAUUUGCCCGAACUACGCCAGUUUGAUUCUCACAGGGUGUAAGAUACGUAGGCAACCCCCAUUCCCGGUCCAACUUCCUUUUUGCAAAAAUAGCCCAAAAGAACAAAAUUUUACUUUAAUUUGAAAAUAAUUAGGGUGAUAUCGUUCUUGUCAUAAAUAGCCGAAUGUCCCUAAAAGGACGUCGGAAGGCUGUUUUUGCAAGAACAACCACUUUUGGUCACUUUUAAAGGUUUUGGCUGGUUAGCUGACAUAGCCUUAAAAUCUUCGUUUUUGAAGUGCUGAAAGGCCGUAUUGGCAAGGCCGGAUGUUUUGUGAAAAUGUUGAAAAAAUGGUCAUUUCUCUUAAGUCAAAAUAAGUCAUAGUUUUAUUUUAAUUAAAAGCACCUUAAUAAAUGUGCAGGAUGAGCACAAAUCAAAAUGAACCUUUCUCAGUCCGUGAAGAGAUCCCUUUGGAGCUACAUAUGUGGUGGCAUGAUUUGGGGGGCGACAGCAGGAAAGUUGUGACAAAAGCAUUGGCGGUCUUAUUGGGCUCUUGAAGGUUAAGCCAAGAAAAGACGUGAUUGAGGCCUUGGUACCAUUUUGGGACCCAACACAUAAUGUAUUCCACUUUGUUGACUUCGAGUUAACUCCUACACUGGAAGAGAUAGCAGGCUAUGCCGGUUUCGAGGGGAAUCUUAGAAGUUAAUACCCGGUAGCACCGAGAACAGUAACCCCUCACAAAUGUUUGGACUUGUUAAGCAUCAGUCGGGACAUCCGAGACGGAAAUUUGACCAAAGUAUUCUGUACCUUCUACUUUCUGUAUCGACAUUACGGGAAUCCCCGUGGCUUUAAAACGCCAGAUACCGGUCUUACUCACGCGGGAAACCAAGACAAGUGGGAAGCUCGGAGAGGAUUAGCUUUCAUAGUGGCGUUCCUGGGUAUUUUGGUUUGCCCUACAAAAGACGGGAACAUAGAAUUGGGGCUUGUAGGGAUAGCUGACUUUAUGAUGAAAAAGGCAAACGGGACUAUAGUGCCGCUGAUCUUGGCGGAAAUUUAUCGAGCUCUGACCCUUUGUCGAGAAGGAGAGAAAUUCUUUGAAGGGUGCAAUAUGUUGUUACAGCUAUGGAUGGAGGAACACCUUUGCCACCGUCCUGGAUACUUGAAUUGUGGUAUGACUGGCCUCGAAUGCAUCAAAAAACAUGAAAAACGAGUAUAGGGUUAUGAGUUCCUGGAUGGUACAGAAGCAUGGCAUGCUCAUCUGAGAUCUUUGACUGCAAACAAGAUCAAAUGGAUGAUCGGGUGGCUCUCAAUCAGUGAAGUAAUCUAUAUGUCAGUUGUGUGUUUUUUGCUGUUGAUGGGUCUUCGGAGUAUCCAGCCUUAUUCUCCACACAGAGUCCUACGUCAGUUAGGCCAAUACCAGACCAUCCCACACGAUGAAGAUUUGAGUUGGCAGGUCAUUGAGUUAGAGCCAAAAGCUGCCUUCCCAGAAGAGAAAGUGCAUCAGAUUUGGCAUCAGUGCAGAUUCUUAGGGCCUAAUACUCAAGUACGAGAUUUAUACAGAGGCAAGGUGGAGCCUAGUUAUAUGGCUUGGUAUGGUAAAUGAUCCCGAGUUCAACAUGAGCCUGAAAGGACUGCAAAGAGACCCAAUGUCCAACAGUUCACCGACGGAGCACAAGUGCAAUGGGACUGGCUGACCAAAGAAAACGAGUACAGGGCUACCAUAAGCAAAUUGGAAAAACAAGUCAGGGACCUUCAGUUUGAAAAUAGCUUGCAAGCCGCGGCAGACGAAGGAGAAAAGAAAAAGCUAGCCAAAGAAAAUGAGGCCCUUCGAGUCCAGAUUCAGAAAAUGAAAAUAGCGACAGAAAACCCAGCCCAAAGUUCCAAAGAUGAAAAACUCAUUGCUAACUUGAGGCAGAAAGUGAAUGACUAUAGUUUUGAUUUGAACAAAGUAGAAAGUGAACUAGCCAAGGCUCGAAAACAAUUGGCUAAAAAUGCAUAUGAACGAGCACGCCUGGUUAAGCAGUUGAAAGAAAAGUAUGACGAUGAGGUCGCAGGAUUAAAGAAAAGGGUCAUCGCCACGGAAAACAAAAUGAUCAAACAGGCAAAAGACUUCAAGGUUGAAAGGGAGCAUUGUUAUACAUCAUUGGCACAAUUAGAAAUAGAUUUGCAACAACUUCAGGAGUAGAAUCAUGGGGCCGAGCAAACUUUGGAAGCCAGGGCCCAGCAGAUCGGGCGUUUGUUACAAGAAAAAGGUGUCAUAAGAGAGAGAAUUAGAAACAUCGCCGAUUACAUUAUUGUGAAGUGUCAAGUCUGUGAGGAUAUGACUCGCACUACCUUCUUCACAGCAAUGAUGACAUUUGUUAAAUAGAUAAUGAGCGACUUGGAUCGACUUCAAAGGGAUCUUGUAUAUAGGCCCGCGGCGAGACCGAAUGAUGUCCCGCAACACUAGGACAUUGAUGUAUUCAUGAUUUUUCAUUUGAGUCUGUAUUUCCUUUUCCGUUACAGUCUGUCAGUUGUGUUGAGUUUGUAUUUUCCUUCUACUGGAGUCAGUCAAUUGUUUUCAAGUCUGUAUUUUCUUUUGUUGGAGUAUGAUAGUUUAUUUUCGGAGUCUGUAUUUCGUUUUUUCAUCGGCGUCUGUUAGUUUCUUUGGAGUCUGUUAGUUUUGAGUCUUUGUAAUCAAAGCAUUUGCUUAUUAUGAAAAUUGAAAAUUCCAAAAAUGUUUUAUUAUUUACUUCACACUUAUCUCCCAGAACUACGCUCGGUCUGAUUCAUGCGGGGUCAUGAUACGUAGGCAAUCUCCAUAGGAUUCGACCACAACCAAAAAAAAGAGAAGAAAAGAAAAAGAAAAACAAUAGAGAAAAAGAAAGAAAGGAAAGAAAAUAAGAGAAAGAAACAAUGGCAAAACAAGAGGGAAAUGAGAGGAUAAAAACAAAGAAAAGCAAAGGCCAGAGUGAAAAAAGAAAAGAAAAAAAGAAAGAAAGUUGCAAAUGGAAAAGCCGGGAUAACGCAAGCAGCCGAUCAAAUGCAUGAUAGAAAUGGUUAACUACUUAGGUGCAUUCAUUCCCCAAAUGUGCGGUUACCAAUUUGUUAAAGCCCUAACCACUAACAGGGUUGUUGUUGAUGUAUUGAGUUCAGGCAUGUGGUUAGUUGAUUGGCAUUCUGGCUACCCACUCAUACAAUACCCGAUCAAAAGACAAGUUGAACAUGGCCAACCAAGAAUUGGAGGCAAGUAUUGUUGACCCGUCAAAAGAGCUGGAAGAAUUGGAUAUUAAUGCGAUGAGGGAAGAGAUGUAUAAGUUAAAGUAGCAAAUGGCUGAAAUGUACCAAGCCUGGGCAAAGGGGCAUCCACCACCGUUUUAUCCUGCUUAUAUCCCACCAUUGGCUCAACCUUAGAAACCUCCCACUGUGAACUUAUCUUCAGCCUUUCCCCUCUACCAAUAGUGCCCCGACACCACUUCCCAUAAAUCUUAAGCUCCACCACCUAGACAAGUCUCGCACCCUCCUCCACCAAUCACACCUGUUUUUGUGGCACCCCACCUACUACAUUACACCGAUCUUCUAGUGAAUCUCUGUUCCAGGAUCACGACAACCAGUAUUAUCCCCCUGAACCCACCUUCAAAGUUCUAGAACCAUAUUCCUACACCCCUCAUCUCGAUCUCCCGGUAUAGACCGAGAAGCCACCCAAAGAUCCCAGACAUGAGGAGAUGAUCAGAAAGGUCAAAAGCUUAGAGCAAUCAUUCAGAGAUAUGAGGGGGUUGGAGGGCCAAGUAAGUGUGACCUAUAAAGACUUAUGUCUGUUCCCAGAUGUUCAGUUACCAGCAGGGUUCAAAAUGCCCAAGUUUGAUCUGUACGACGGUCAUGGUGACCCAAUAGGACACUUAAGAGGAUUUUGUAGCAAGAUGAGAGGAGCAGGCGGAAGAGAUGAAUUGCUGAUGGCAUAUUUCAGCCAAAGUCUGAGUGAAUCAACAUUAGAAUGGUAUACCAGACAAGAUCAUAGUAGGUGGUACACAUGGGACGAUUUAGCCCAAGCCUUCGCUGCCAUUUUCAGUACAAUCUUGAAAUUAUUCCAGAUCGGUUGUCAUUGACAAAGAUCGAGAAGAAGCCCGGUGAGAGUUUCAAAGAAUAUGGGUUCUGUUGGAGAGAGCAAGCAGCGAGGGUUGACCCUCCGAUGAAAGAAAGUAAGAUGGUUGAUUAUUUCUUGUAGGCUUUGGAGCCCACUUAUUUUGGUCACUUGGUGUCAGCAGUGGGCAAGUCCUUUAAUGAGGUUGUAAAAAUGGGAGGCAUGGUUGAGGAGGGACUCAUUUCCAACAAGAUCAUGAGUUAUUCAGCAAUCAAAGCAACCACCUAGGCCAUUCAAAACGGUACUGGGGGUGUGCUCGGGAAGAAGAAGAAAUAGGAUGUUGCGACAAUUGAGUCAGGAGCUUGGGUCGGAUCCAGGAACCUUCCACGUUAUAUAACCCGCCUCGACCCUAUCACCAAACUUACCCCCACACUCCAUAUAGCCCACCACAACACUAUUACCCACCGCCCGAUCCCCAUUUUUCCAUCCAUCACGCACAAACCUAUACCCAACCUCCUGCUCACUCACAAUGGCAUGUGCCAGCUCCACAAAAUACCUAUACACCCCCAAGAGCCUACAGAAAUCCCCCUGGAACAGGUUUUUGGCCCAAUCAAGCCUUUAAGAAUGAGAGGUUGUAGAAAUAGAAGACAUUCACUCCAUUGGGAGAAUCAUAUACUAGGACAGACUGAGAUAGUUGGGUAUGUUGAAUCCGAUUGAGGCUAAACUGCAGAAUCCCCCUCCCAGAAAUCUUGACCACUCGGUGAGUAAUGAGUAUUGUUCAGGGGCCCCAGGUCAUGACACAAAGAAAUGCUGGAAAUUGAAAACAACUAUUCAAUAGCUCAUUGACAUUAAUCGGAUUGAGGUACAAGCUCUGGAGGCACCCAAUAUCAACCAAAACCCAUUGCCAGCCCAUCAUGAGACAAAUAUGAUUGAGAUAGUGCAUGAGGGAGGGGAGCCUAAGAAGCCUUCGCAAACUGUCAUGAUGAUUAGGGCUAGUGAAGCCAAGCCAUCUGAAAAGUAAACAAGUGAGAAGUUUGUGAUCAAGUUGAACGGGGCAAAUAGUUAACCAUCUGCGGUGGGCAAGAAGGGGUCCUCAAGUGACGUUGCAGGGAAACAUGAAAAAGCAAAAGUGGUUGUGCUAGGAGUAUUGAACAAGCUUGUGGUAAUUGUGGAAGGUUCCCGUACAGAUCCUAUUAUCAUCAAACCGGUAACUCAAUUACCGAUAGUCAGCAGCAAGGCGGUCCCGUAAAAUUAUGAACGAGUGACAGUAAUUUACAAGGGGAAAGAGGUUAAAGAAGAAGUGUGUGAGACCCAUGGUUUGACUCGAUCGGGGAGAUGCUUUGCCCCCGAAGAGUUGAGAAAAGCUAGAACCUCUAAAGAUAACCUAGUAUUGGUGAAGAAAGCUGUGACUGAGGAAGAAUCCAAGGAGUUCUUGAGAAAGAUGAAAGUGCAGGACUAUUCCAUUGUGGAGUAGUUGAGGAAAACACCGGCUCAGAUUUCAUUAUUGUCAUUAUUGAUCCAUUCCGACGAGCACCGUCGGGCUUUGAUGAAGGUCUUGAAUGAGACCCACAUUCCUGACAAAAUCUCAGUAAACCACUUGGAAAAGAUAGCUAACAAGAUAUUUGAGGUAAACAGAGUCACUUUUUCUGAUGAUGAGUUGCCCGUGGAGGGUACUGAGCACAAUAGAGCCCUCUAUCUAAUGGUGAAAUGCGAAGAUUUCGUGGUUACUCGGGUACUGGUUGACAAUUGGUCUAGUGCGAACUGUCCUCUCUCCACGUUGAACAAGCUGAAAGUGGAGGAUGAAAGAAUUCACAAGAAUAGUAUUUGUGUUCGGGGAUUUGAUGGUGNNNNNNNNNNNNNNNNNNNNNNNNNNNNNNNNNNNNNNNNNNNNNNNNNNNNNNNNNNNNNNNNNNNNNNNNNNNNNNNNNNNNNNNNNNNNNNNNNNNNNNNNNNNNNNNNNNNNNNNNNNNNNNNNNNNNNNNNNNNNNNNNNNNNNNNNNNNNNNNNNNNNNNNNNNNNNNNNNNNNNNNNNNNNNNNNNNNNNNNNNNNNNNNNNNNNNNNNNNNNNNNNNNNNNNNNNNNNNNNNNNNNNNNNNNNNNNNNNNNNNNNNNNNNNNNNNNNNNNNNNNNNNNNNNNNNNNNNNNNNNNNNNNNNNNNNNNNNNNNNNNNNNNNNNUCUACAUCAAAUGGUCAAGUUUGAAUGGGAUCGACAGGAAAUUGUUGUGCACGGCGAGGAUAAUUUGUGUGUUCCCAAUGAUGCCAUUGUUCUGCUCAUAUAGGUUGAAGACGACAAGGGGCCAUGGGUUUAUCAGGUUUUUGACACAGUACCAGUGAAGAAAAUUCCAGAAGGGAAGUGCGUUCCAACUCUGUGGGUAGUUGCUGUAUCAGUCAUGGUAGCCGCUGAAAUGUUGAAAAAUGGUUUUGUACUGGGUAAGGGUUUGGGUGCAUCUCUGUAAGGUAUCGUACAGUCGGUUUCUCUUCCCAAAAACUUGGAUACAUUUGGUCUGGGGUUCAGCCCACAGUUGCGGACGUGAGAUAGCCAGGAAAAUAAAACAGAGAGCAUGGGCCCUUCCAAAGCCAGUCCCGCGUCUUUCCAGAUCAUUUGUCAGGCCUGGUACCAGAAAGCGCCCAAUGACAACCAUUCCCAGUUCGGUGGUUGAUGUGGAUGGAGAUUUGAUGGAAAAGUUCGAGAGGAUAUUCGACGAAGUAAACAUGGUGGAAGUUGGAGAGGGUUCUAGCAAGGCGGAUGUGCAAUUUGUUGGGCCCAGUGCAAAGAUUAACAACUGGGAAGCUACUCCUCUCCCCACCAGGAAGGAGUUUUGAUAGUUUGCUUUGAUUUUCUUUUAAUUUAUCUGGAUUAUUCCAGGGUUGUAAUUCAGAUUCUAUGUUCCGUCCGUUUGGAUGUAUAAACCUUGUUAUCUUUAAUUUUAAUGAAAUGCAAUUUCCCUUUUUCUUCCUUCCUGAUAGUUUUAUUUUUGUUUUUUCUUUUCUUCUUGGUACAGUUCUUUUUAUGCUGGCUUCAAUGAUAUGACAUGCAUGAGGAAUCUCUGGCCCAGUCUUAAAAGCCAAUCUAAUUCUGAAAUAGUAAUUCAAGAAAUAGAGUGUGACAUUGAAUUGGAGUAUGACGAGGAUGAAGCCUUUGAAGAUAUUAGUAAAGAAUUAAGCCAUUUUGAAGAAAAACUCAAGUCUAACCUGAGUGACACAGAAGCAAUCAAUUUAGGGGACCAAGAUAAUGUCCGGAAAACUAAAAUAAGUGUCCAUCUUGAACCACAACUCAGAGAGGAGAUAAUUAAAGCACUGUUCGAGUAUAAAGAUUUUUUGCAUGGUCCUAUGACGAUAUGCCGGGUCUAAGCACUGACUUGGUGGUUCACAAAUUGCCCACUGAACCGGCAUUCCCCCCUGUCAAGCAGAAGCUGAGGAAAUUUAAAACUGAUAUGAGUGUGAAGAUUAAGGAAUAGGUCACCAAGCAGUUCGAUGCAAAGGUCAUUCGGGUCACCCGAUAUCCUACCUGGUUAGCCAAUGUUGUGCCUGUGCCGAAGAAGGAUGGCAAGACCAGGAUGUGUAUUGAUUAUUGAGACCUUAACAAGUCAAGUCCCAAGGAUAACUUCCCAUUGCCGAACAUCCAUAUAUUAAUCGAUAAUUGUGCCAAACAUGAGAUUGGUUCUUUUGUGAAUUUCUAUGCGGGCUACCAUCAGAUCUUAAUGGAUGAAGUGGACGCAGAAAAGGCAUCAUUCAUCAUGCCAUGGGGAACGUACUGCUAUAGGGUUAUGCCAUUUGGUUUGAAAAAUGCUGGGGCAACCUACAUGAGGGCAGUGACGACCAUAUUCCACGACAUGAUACACAGGGAGAUCGAGGUUUAUGUGGACGAUGUGAAUGUACAGUCUAGAAAGGAGUCUGACCAUGUCAGAGACCUGAGAAAGUUCUUCCAAAGGCUUCGCAAGUACAAUAUCAAGCUUAAUCCUGCAAAAUGCGCGUUCGGUGUUCCAUCUGGAAAGUUGUUGGGAUUCAUAGUCAGCCGCCGAGGUAUUGAAUUAGACCCAUCAAAGAUCAAAGCUAUCCAGGAGUUGCCACCCCCAAAGAACAAGACUGAGGUGAUGAGUCUGUUGGGGAGAUUGAAUUAUAUCAGCUGGUUUAUCACUCAGCUCACAACAACUUAUGAGCCUAUCUUCAAACUGUUAAAGAAAGAUGUUGCGGUCAAGUGGAUAGAUGAAUGUCAGGAAGCAUUUGAUAAGAUAAAGGGGUACUUGUCAAACCCACCUGUGUUAGCCCCGCCAGAACCAGUGAGACCUUUGAUUCUGUAUUUGACGGUCUUGGACAAUUCAUUUGGAUGUGUGUUGGGCCAACAUGAUAUCACUGGCACGAAGGAGCAGGCCAUAUAUUAUCUCGGCAAGAAGUUCACAUCUUACGAGGUCAAGUACACUCAUCUUGAGAGGAUGUGUUACGCCCUAACCUGGGUAGCCCAGAAGUUGAAACACUAUUUGUCAUCUUAUACUACUUACCUCAUCUCUUGCUUGGAUCCGUUGAAGUAUAUCUUCUAGAAGCCUAUACCCACGGGAAGGCUCGCAAAGUGGCAGAUCUUGCUCAUAGAAUUUGACAUUGUCGACAUGACUCGGACUGCGAUGAAAGCACAAGCAUUGGCCGACCAUUUGGUUGAGAAUCCAGUGGAUGAAGAAUACGAACCUUUGAAGACUUACUUCCCCGAUGAAGAGGUAAUGCACAUUGAUGAGUUGGAACAGAUUGAAAGGCCAGGAUGGAAACUUUUCUUUGAUGGGGCUGCUAACAUGAAAGGCGUUGGGAUAGGAGAGGUACUUGUUUCUGAAACCGGGCAUCAUUACCCUAUUACGACUCAGCUUCGGUUCUACUGUACUAACAAUAUGGCUGAGUACGAGGCAUGCAUUUUGGGUUUGAGGAUGGCUGUGGAUAUGGGUGUCUAGGAAGUCUUGGUCUUGGGUGACUCGGACCUUCUGGUGCACCAGAUUCAAGGAGAGUGGGAAACUUAGGAUCUAAAACUCAUACCGUAUCAACAAUAUUUACAUGAUCUUUGUCAGCGAUUCCAAUAAAUAGAGUUCAGGCAUAUUCCGAGGAUUCAUAAUGAGGUCGCUGAUGCUUUGGCUACUCUGGCGUCAAUGUUACAUCAUCCAGAUAAGGCUUAUGUAGACCCGUCGCAUAUUCAGGUCUGCGAUCAGCAUGCUUAUUGUAACGUGGUAGAAGAAGAACUCGAUGGCGAACCAUGGUUCCAUGAUAUCAAGGAAUACAUCAGGAUAGGGGUGUAUCCAGUACAAGCCACAGGUGAUCAAAAAAGGACAAUUAGGCGGUUGGCAAGAGGUUGUUUCUUCAGCGGAGGGGUUCUAUACUAAAAGACUCCAGAUCUUGGGCUGCUGAGGUGCAUGGAUGCUAGGCAAGCUACAACUAUUAUGACUGAAGUACAUUCUGGAGUCUGUGCACCGCACAUGAGUGGGUACGUGUUGGAAAAGAAGAUUCUCUGAGCAGGCUAUUAUUCGCUCACUAUGGAGCGAGAUUGUAUCAAUUUCGUGCGUAAAUAUAAUCUGUGCCAAGUGCAUGGAGAUUUGAUUCAUUCUCCACCAUCUGAAUUACACACGAUGUCUGCACCAUGGCCCUUUGUUGCUUGGGGAAUGGAUGUCAUUGGACCAAUUAAGCCAGUAGCAUCCAAUGGGCACAGGUUUAUUCUGGUGGCCAUUGAUUAUUUCACCAAGUGGGUAGAGGCUAAAACAUUCAAGUUUGUAACCAAGAAGGCGGUGGUUGAUUUUGUGCACUUAAAUAUGAUUUGCCGGUUUGGGAUACCAAAGGUAAUCAUUACAAACAACGGGGCUAAUCUCAAUAGUCAUCUGAUGAAAGAGGUAUGUCAACAGUUUAAGAUUACACAUCGCAAUUCCACCCCAUAUCGCCCCAAGGCGAAUGGAGCAGUCGAGGCAACCAAUAAGAACAUAAAGAAGAUACUUCGGGAAAUGGUGGAAGGGUCCAGGAAAUGGCAUAAGAAGCUGUCGUUUACAUUGUUGGGUUAUCGCACUACUGUCCGUACUUCAGUAGGGGCGACUCCUUAUUUGUUGGUGUAUGGCACCGAGGCAGUGAUACCUGCAGAAGUGGAAAUUCCAUCUUUUCCAAUUGUCGCGGAGGCUGAGAUCGAUGAUGAUGAGUGGGUCAAAACCCGUCUGGAGCAAUUAAGUUUGAUCGAUGAAAAAAAACUGGCAGUAGUGUGUCAUGGCCAAUUGUAUCAACAGAGAAUGGCAAGAGCAUACAAUAAAAAGGUGCGUCCACGGAAGUUUGAAGUGGGUCAGUUAGUAUUGAAGCGUAUCUUGCCUUACCAGGUUGAAGCAAAAGGAAAGUUUUCCCAAAUUGGCAGGGGCCAUUCGUUGUAGCUAGAGUGUUAUCCAAUGGUGCAUUGUAUUUGACAGAUGUAGAAGGCAAAUAUGUAGAAAUGGCUAUCAAUUCUGAUGCAGUCAAGCGAUACUAUGUAUGAUUUCUUUGUCUGAUUGUACUUGUUUGUAUUUGGCAUGUUUUGAAUAUUGAAAUGACGAAGGAAUUUUGUUCUGCUAUCUAAACACUUUAUCCCUUGUCACCCCCUUUGAGCCUUAUUUAUUUUCUUUCAUACCCCUCUUUUGGAAUCAGUAGCAAAGUUCAGAAACUCAAGCGCAAAAAUAAGUAAAGGAAGAAGAAAAAAAAGAGAGAGAAAAAGAGAAAGAAAAAUGAAAAGAGAAAGAAAAGAAAUGAAAAAAAAAGAGAGAAGAAAAACAACGAAAAGAGAAAAGAAAGCAAAAAAGAGAAAGAAAAGAAAGAGAAAAUCACAACAACAAAGUAAUUUCUAUGUCAUGAACGAUGUUCUACCUGAUUCAUUUUAAGGAUACGUAGGUAGCCUCACGGUUCGGUCCCAUCAAAAUAAAAAUCCAAAAGUCCCCAAGCAAGAAACUGGGGCAGAAGUUGUGGUUGUUGUAAGAAAUCUGAUUCCGAAAGUUGUAAUUGUGAACCCAUGAUGAAUUGUUUUGAACCUUUUUAUACCCUUUCUUUCUAACCCCAUACAAAAGCCCACAUUACAGUCCAAAGAAAGACCUUCCGAUCGGUCUUCAAGAAAUGCCAAAGCGAGCAGAUAGCGGUGAUUCAUAUCAAGGGCAGCACUCUGGUCCAAAUAGGAAAAAGAAAUAAAAAAUGAGAGAGUCUUAUUGGUGAAAACCCUCAUAGGCAUCGUAAUGAGACGGUAGCAGAGAGAAAUAAAAAUGAGAGAGUCUUAUUGGUGAAAACCCUCACGGGCACCUUAAGGCGAAAGUGAGUUGACGGAUGGACGAGUGAGAGAGGUCUGCUGGUGAAAACCUUUCAAGGCGCCGUAGGAUGAACAAGGCCAGGAUUUGGUUGAAGAAAUCAUGUUAUGGAAAUUCCAUGGAAACAAAGUAUGGCAACUGAAAGUUGAUUGGUUGGACAAAUUAACCCAAUUAAUCCAAAUUGCAUGUCAUGAUCGUUGGUGCCAGCUGUCCCACUCAGAUAAGUCUCUUUUCUUGUUCCUCUUCAGAUAGUCUUCCAGUUUUGGAUUUUCUUUUCCUUAACUCUUAAAGUCAUUGCAUUUCAUUUCUAAGACGUUCCCAAUGUCAGUUAUAUUAAAGCAAAUAAGAAAGAAUUUCAAAGCUCACUACCAGCUUCAAGAUUGCAAAGCACAGUGCGGCCAGAGCAUACCAAAAAUAGCAUGAUGUAAAGAGGGAUAAAGUGCCAGCAAGAGUUCCAUCGGAAAAUGAUUUGGUAAUUUAAUGGGGCAUUUAGAGGUUUAGUUAAAAGGGUCAGAGAUGUGAAACAACGGCUCGGGUAUAGAACACUCGGGUAAUCCAAAGUCAUGGGAGUUUGAAAGCUAGUCAGAAAGUCGAGCGGUUCAAGGCCAGUUCGAGGAAGCCAGUCAGAACAAAACAACGCAGCGGAGAGACCUUCAGCAAGAAUUCCAUCAACUAACCACCACAUUUUAAACUGACAAAAUAUUUCUUUGAUUAAAACAGGGGCAGGAAAUUUCGGUUGUUUCGGAGAAACCCUCCGUGGAGAAGGGCAAUCACCAAACAGGUUUCAUUUUUGAUUUUCAGGACCCUCCUGGAAAAUGGGACCUAGUUUAAAACUCAGAAAUAGCAUAAUCUAGCAUAAAUGUAUCCUAAAAGAAUAUAAGUUAGCUUAGAAGUUUGCAUGUUCGAUAUAGGAUUCAAUUAGGAGUUUCGAGGACCCUUCUGAAUAAUGGGACUUAUCUUUAAGAUUUCGAUUAGAUAACAAAAUUUAGCGUAAACUCUGCUGUAGGGUAGUAUAAUUCAACCAUGAAAGUUUAGCAAUCAGGAACCCGCCUGGAGAACAGGGAAUACAUUUCAAGUUUAGCAAUCAGGAGCCCUCCUGGAGAGCAGGGAAUACAUUUCAAGUUCAGCAGUCAGGAGCCCGCCUGGAGAGCAGGGAAUACAUUUCAGGUCAGCAGUCAGGAGCCCGCCCGAAGAGCAGGGAAUACAUUUCAAGUCAGCAAUCAGGAGCCCACCUGGAGAACAAGGGAGUACAAUUCAAAUUUUAGCUUUUAAGUUCUUAUUGAUAGUUGGUGAUGUGAUUUGUUUUACACUUACAUAUGUUCCCAGAUACCCAAACUGGGGCAGAAAAACUUCCUCUGUUUUUGUCAUUUUGUUGAAGUCAGGAGCCCGCCUGGAGAGCAGGGAAUACAUUUCAAGUUAGAAGUCAGGAGCCCACCUUGGAGAGCAGGGAAUACAUUUCNNNNNNNNNNNNNNNNNNNNNNNNNNNNNNNNNNNNNNNNNNNNNNNNNNNNNNNNNNNNNNNNNNNNNNNNNNNNNNNNNNNNNNNNNNNNNNNNNNNNNNNNNNNNNNNNNNNNNNNNNNNNNNNNNNNNNNNNNNNNNNNNNNNNNNNNNNCCUGGAGAGCAGGGAAUACAUUUCAAGUUAGAAGUCAGGAGCCCGCCUGGAGAGCAGGGAAUGCAUUCAAGUUCAGCAGUCAAGCGUCCCCUUGGAGAAAAUAAAAACAUCUCAAAGUGUAGUUGGCAGUAAGGCGUCCACCUGGAGAAAAGUAAAAACAUCUCAGAUUACAAUUCAAGGCGGCAACAAAGGGAUUCCACUGGGAAAAUACAAGUCAACAAGGCAACAAGAACCACAAGAGCAAGUUUGAAGAUAUAGAUAGGAUUUUGUAAUGCAUAGAUCAUAGUAUAGUUUAACUUCUUUUUACUUUAUCAUGGUGUAAUAAGGGGAUGCAGUAAGCAACAACAACAACAACAACAACAACAACAACAAUGAAAUCACAGCCUCAUGGUAGUUCCAGCUACCAAAACUUCCCAAACUACACUGACUUGAUUCCUUUAUAGCCAAGGAUAUGUAGGCAACCUCGGAAGAAGGGUGCGGUCAAAUCUUACAAAAAUGCUUCCCACGGAGUAUUCAAACGGGUAAAAAUCACUCGUAUCCGCUCACUUUAUCUUUGCACGAAAACUCUUCGUGUUUUCGAGCAAAGAGGGGCAGCUGUGAGCACGUGAUUUUUGUCCUAUAUGAAUUACUCCCAUAAAUUCAAAACAAAAUAACUAUUUCAUUAUUUGCAAUUCUUGUGGAUUUUGUGGCAUUUUCUGAUCAUUGUUUGCAUUUGUAUAUGCAUGUUUAUUUCAUUUAAUUAAUAAAAAUACAAAAAUACACUGCAUUUGUAUUUAGGAUCUAAUUUUGCAUUAAUUAGUAAUUUAGUGUUUUAUAAAAAAUGAAAAAAAAAUCACAAAAUAGUUUAGUUUGCACUUUUAAUUUUAAUUUCGAAUUUUGGUGGUUUUUCUUUAAUUUGGUAUUUAAUUAGCCGUGGUAAUUAUUAUUUAUAGUUAGCUAAUUUAAUUUGAUAGAAUAAUUUGAUUAAGAAUUAAUUUAGGCUUUAUUUUAAUUUAAAAGAAAUUAGAAGAAAACUGAAAAAAUGAAAAUGAAAAGGAAAAGGGAAUUAAAACAAACUCAGUUCUGGGCCAAGCUUAUACCAGCCCAAGUUGUUCCCCAUUAACUCGUCCAAGUUAAGGCCCAAUUACGCCUUCACCCGGUCCGGUUCCCCCAUACAAACCAAACGACGUCGUUUCAUUAUCCCUUGAUCUGAGCCGUUGAUCCCUGUAAAUCCAAUGGACCGGAAUUGACCCCUCCCCCAUAUAAAACUGUCCAAACUCUACCCCCCUCUCAAACUCAUCUCUCUCAACCCCCAUCUUCAGAGACGCCCAAACCCUAGAAGCCACCCCCAUUCGCCACCAUGCCCGGCCGACGGUGCAGCCCUAAACUACUUUGUUCCUCCCCAAAAUAAAACCCUAGGAUCCUUUUCAACUCCUCAUCCAAAAUACCCAACCCAUUGCCCUCGAAUCAACGUAGACUUGUUCGAAUCUUAAAUUAGGGCUCAAACCUCAAAAGUUCAAAAAUCAUUUUCGCCAAGCCUGGUGACAUGCAUAAUCGCGAAAUACUCUUCUUUCAAAGUUUGAGGGCCUGACUCGACGAAACUAAUGUCGAUUCAGUUGUUCUUGACAAAGAAUAACGGAUUCGACUUAAGUUUGGUUAAGUUUUGUCUCCAUCUGUUUUCGAAGUCCGAUCCGGUAAGUUCUUGUCCCUUUUGUGUUUUCUUUCUCCUAUUAUCCUCCUCUCUCCUUUUCUUUAACUUAAUUUUCAUAAUAAUCUGAUUCAUCUCUGAGUUUAAAUUUUCCUCCUGUUCACCAUUUUGGUUUUCCUUUUCUCCUUUAUCCUUUCUACUUUAUGAAAUCCAUUUCUUUUUUUUUAGUCCGUUAAACAUGAUCAAGUUCUGUUUCGUAAUUUUCACUUAGUUAAUUUAAAUAGGUUAAUUUAGUUAACUUUUGCUAUUAACUUAAGAUAAUUGACUCAUGUGCCUUCAUCAUUGUUUGGUUACAUUUUUAAAGGUUUUCGGGGGCUUUUCUUUUGGGAACUUUGGGUUAGUUCUUAGAAUAGGAUUCCUUGUUUGAUCCUAAUUGGGCUUAUGAAAUUCGAAAGCCCCGAAAGGGGUAUGGGUGGGGAUUUAAUUUGGGCUGCAGACCCAUUAGUUUGGUCAGUUGACCCGGGUUGGGUUUAAAGAGUAAAAUUAGAGAAUUGAGAGGGUAAUUUAGGUAACUGGUUUAGGGAAUCUGUAGUAACUGAAUAGGAAGCUUCCAAGAAAAGGGGUUUGGGACUAUUUUGACAUUCUGAAUUUUACAUUAGGGAUAUGUGAGCUAAAACCAAAAUUGAAAAAGGGGCAAAAUGCAAAGACUGAUAUCUUUGAGUUGCCCUAAUGUCUUGCCUAUAAAGGCACCAAGACUUGCUAUUCAAGUCAGAUUUUUAAAAAGAGAAAAAAUCCCUAAAAUUGAAAUGGCUAGGUCCUUUGAGAGAAUUCUGAAUUCUCUGCAUUUCUAGCUUAGAAAAGUUCUUAAUUCUUGCAUAUUUGGUAUUUUCUGGUUUCAUUUGGCUAGAAAAUUUCUUUUCUAAGAAGAUCAUAGUCUUAAAUCUUGGUUUCCAUGGCUUGAGUUUGGUUUUCUGAAGACUGGUUUGAGUUUGGCUGUUGAAGUUACUGUUUGAUUAAAGCUGGGUGUUACUCUGUUGCUGUUCUGCUGACUCUUCACCCUUUCUAUUUUCUUUCGAUUUCCAGGUACUCCCCAGAUUCCACUAACCUAUGAAUUGCACAUCAAAGACAUGUAAACAACCUGGGCUUGCAUAUGAAUGACAAUGGAUUUGAACAUAGUUACAUGUCCUUUAGAGAUCAGUCGUGUUUUCUUUUGGUGUAUCGAACUUGCCAUUUGAAUAUUCUUCUGUGUGAAUGUAGCUUAUCACUCCAAACUCUGGAAUUGUUUAAAUUCUUGUGUAUUUAAUGUCUGCAAUGCAUGAAUCCUAUUAGUCAAAUGUAGUAGCAAUUUAUUUAGUUUGAGUGGCUUCUUUGAUUACUGAAGUUACAAGGUUUUUUACUGCUAUAGAUGCAAAUUUGGUAGGCACUUUCAGGAUUUUGUUAAAACAUGUAUGUUGAAUCUUAGGUGUAGUAGUUGAACUCUUAUCAAUUUUGAAAUAUGGACACCCUUAAGGAACAAUGCAUAGGUUGUAUGGUAGCAUUGUGCUUCAGUUGUUAAUGAGGCCUACUGUCAUGUUUUGAUCACAUAAGUGAAAGCAGGAAAUGUUCUGAUGAUUGUCUCACAUCAGUUUUGAACUUUGGGUCUGAUUUUGAUUUUACUCAGUUGGUAUGUUACUUCUUCAAUUGUUGGUCUGAAAUCAGUAACAGUCCGUGUUAGUUCAAUGCUGAUUUGCCUUUGGUAGUUAGUUGUGUUCGAUAUUGACCCUCUUUUUAAUUGUUGCUAUCCUUGAAUGCAUGCCAAGGGACUCGAAUUUGAGUCUCGCUCCUGCUUUCUCCUUAAUUUGGUCCAGGAUGUUUGCAAAGCAGGGACGCAUGUUUUUCAUUGUUAGGCCUACCCCUUCAUGCCUUUGGUUCUCUUAAUUAUGGCACGAGCCAUUCGUUGUUUUCAAAUAGUCAAAUCCAUUCUCUCUUCAAUGCAAAUGUUCUUUCAUAAGGCUGGCCUGAACUUGGAUUUAUUGUUUUAAAAUUGGUUCAAACUCUUAUCUUAAGCAGUGGUGACAUUUUUCCUUACUCCUUUAAUCAAUUAGUGGAGGGGAACUGUACUGGAUAACACAAAUAGCUUAUGGCCUCUUCAAAUUUUUAGUUUUCCUUUAAAAUAAGUCGAGGUGCGCCGCGCCAAAUAAAAUCUCAAAUGUGUGGCCCUCAAUUAUUUAUUUCUUUUAAAUCCUUAGAACUCGAGGCGCGCCAUUUAGCAAAUUUCUCAUGGCCCUCACAAAGUUAAGAACGCGUAGUUGCUUUAGGCGCGUUAUUUUAAUAACUUACCUUCCUAAACUAUGGUGUGCAUUACAUGUGACCAAAAUCCAAAUCUUAAAACGUUGACUAAAAUGUAUUUAGGAUUGCGGGUGCAUUUCAUGUGGCGCGAUCCAAAGGCACAUUUUCAACGACGUUCAAUCUUCUUUAAAAAUUAAUUAAAAGCGGUUAAAACUAAAAAUCUACACAUAGGUUCAAAAUUGUUUAAAAUCAGAUAAUUAAGCCGAAUAUAACAGUUGAGCGACCGUGCUAGAACCACGGAACUCGGGAAUGCCUAACACUUUCUCCCGGGUUAACAAAAUUCCUUACUCGGAUUUCUGGUUCGCGGACUGUUAAACAAAGUCACGCUUUUCCUCGAUUCGGGAUUUAAUACCGGUGACUUGGGACACCAUAAAUUAUCCCAAGUGGCAACUCUAAAUCUUUUAACAAUAAAUCCCAUUUCGAUUGUCCCUUAAUUGAAAAAACUCAUUUAUACCCUUUCCAGGGGUGUAGGUAAAAAGGAGGUAUGACAGCUGCAGAUAAAAAAUGUGCGGCGCAGAACUCCAGCUCCCACCAGAUGAAGACAUCUGCGGAUCGCACAUGGAAUUGUGCGGCCGCAGAACUUCCCGAGGGGUAUUUUUGUCCGAGAUUUUUAGCAUUGUACAAAUAGUCAAGCUUCACAAAAUUAGGUCAAGUUUGAACCUCUGAAGUUGUUGUAGCCAUUUUUCUUUACUAGUUUAGGAAGUUUUACAUUGCUUUGGUGUAUUUACAAUAAGUUUAAUCAUUUAAGCUUCCAUUAUGAGUUUAAUUCGUUUUUCUUCCUUAUUUUGUUCAAACCCCAUUAUAAAUAGCUAGACAUUUACUAGGGUUAUGACCCAACCCUAGUGUGUAAACCUUAUGGGUAUCUAAUUUCGUGCUUAUUUAUGAUUGGGUGUUGAUUAUUUAGCUUAGUUCGUGCUUUAAUUGAAGAAUUGAAGGUUGCAAACAUUAAUUCAUGUCUAUUUGACCUAGUAUCUACUUGAGUAAGAGGGACCUAGUCUAGGAUAACUUAGCUAACAAUGAAUUCGCUCAAUUGAGAGAUUGAUUGACCCAACUAAAGGGUGCAACCUAGAUAGUACUUAAGCUCUUAUUAACUAUUUUAUUGCAUACAACCAUUUCAUAUCUCUUUUGAGGUGUGCUUUGGACAUGAUUAAUUUUUGGCGUCGUUGCCGGGGAGUUAAAAAAUGAUGUUAGCUAUAUAUUUGGGUAUGUUUUUGGAAUAUCUUCUUUUCCUUCCAUGUUACUAACUAGUUUGAUAAAUCUUAAGUACAACCAUGGAAAACAAUAAUCUCGGGAAUAUAUCUUUAGGGGAUGUAGAUGUCGAGGAUGAGCAAGCUGAUGAGGUUCCUCUUGAACCUCAAGCCAAUAGAAGAGGCCGAGUGCCUCAUGACGAUGUCCCCGUUCCACCCCCACCUCCACCACGAGCGGCUCCUCACAGGGUGUUACCCAAUGAAGGAUAUGCUAGUAAAAUAGUCCCUCCUCAUAUUAGGGAAGAAAACUUUCAAAUCACCAAUGUGAUGCUCACUUUGCUAGAGCAAAGAGGUUUCUUCACCGGCGCUCCAAGUCAAAAUGCGUAAAAACAUUUAAAGGGGUUUGUGGACACUUGUUGGGGGAUAAAACAAACAAAUGUCUCUGGGGAUACAUUGACGCUAAGGAUUUUUCCCUUUUUUCUAUGGGGGAAAGCUUAAUAUUGGUUGGAACGUUUGCCGAACCAUUCCAUUCACACUUGGGAUGAGCUAGCGGAAAAUUUUAUUUCUAUCUCUUCUCUCUGGGGCACAUGGCUAAACUUCGGGAUGCGAUUUUGGCAUUCAAGUAAGAGCCAAAUUAACCACUAAACGAGACAUGGGAACCUAUAGAGCAAUGGUUAAGGAAUGUCCCAACGAUAUAAUGAAGAAUAUGAUUCAACAACUUUUUAUCGUGGGAUCAACACAACCAACCAAUGUGUAGUGAAUCAACUUGCCGGUGGGAACUUCAUGACUACGCCUUAUGCAGAGGUGUAUGAGAUUUUAGAUGAAAUGGAGGAAACAUCAUCGGUGUAGAAAUCCAGGGCUAAUGUUCCACAAGGUGAUCCUAACAGGUUCUACCUUGAAAUAUAGUUGCAUGACCAUGGGCAAGCCACUGCCAAAUUGACUACCAUCAUGAAUCAAUUAGCAAAGGCUCAACUUCAACAAGUGAAAAAUCCAAAGAAAGUCAAUUCCAUGGAGGGAGUGAACUUGAUGGUGAACAAAAGAAGGUCCAAGGGUCCACAAGUGCAACAUCGAGUGGAGAAUUAUAUACAAGAGGAUAGUGGUUUUGAUCAAGAUGAUUCUUAUAAUGAACAAGAAGAGGAGGUGCAAUAUGUGAACAACUUUCAAGGCACAAUCCAACAACAAUGGCGACCUCAAAAUAAUUAAGGCAAUUGGAAUUCUAACAACCAAGGAAAUCGGAGUAGUGGAAACAAUCAAGGAAAUUAGCAUAACAACAACAAUCAAGGAAAUUGGAUUGGCAAUAAUCAAGGAAAUCGAGGGGGGUAACAAUCAAGGUGGAUGGAACAAUAAUCAAGGCAAUUAGGGGUCGGGUUUUCAAAGGCCCUCGAUGUAUCAACAACCGAGCAACCCGCCUCCUUAUCCUUCCCAUGGUCCAAGUUCUUCAACCAAUGAGAUGGGGCAUAUUGAGAACAUGUUCAAGAAAAUGAUGGAAAAGAAUGCCGAUUCGGAUACCCAACUUUCCUCACACAACACAUCAUUCUACAACUUAGAAGUUCAAAUGGGGAAAAUCUCUCAAGCUCUAUAUUCUCAUCCUAAGGGGGCACUACCAACUGACAAAGUGGUAAACCCAAAGGGUGGAAACAACACGGGGCAUGCCAUGGCCAUUACUAUAAGAAGUGGAAGAGGUGGGAAUGCACCUACCUCAACUCAAAAACAACUUGAGGAUGAUGAGAAAGUGGUACAAGAAGAAGAGGCUCCGAACAAUAUGGUGCAAUCAAAUGAUAAAGUUUGGAUUGAUAUUGAUGAUAGUGUGGAAGAGAAUGAAGAGGAGGUGAACCCAUAUUGGGAUCACAUUAUUGAAAUACCGGAGCUGCUAGUGAAAAAGGCUAAGACGGCAUUUCCUAAGCCUCCACCUCUAUACUCUCAAAGACUUGGCAAACAAAAUGGCGAUAAUCAAUUCAAAAAGUUCAUUCAAAUGAUGACGAGUCUCUCAACCAAUGUGUCAUUAGUUGAAGAUUUGGAACUAAUGCCCGGUUAUGCAAAUUUUAUGAAAGAUCUCGUGACGAAGAAGAGGUCAAUGAAUUUUGAAACUAUCAAAGUCACUCAUCAAGUGAGUACAAUUGUGCAUUCAAUGUCUCCUAAGUUGGAGGAUUGUCAGGCCCUAAACCUGGGGGCGAGACCGCCACCUAGUGCCACACCUAUUCUUGCGUACCAACUUGAAACUAAGGGAAUCUGAACAUAUGAUGUCAUACUUUGGCCAUGGGCCACAUUGCAAGACAACUAUAAAUGCUGACUAAAUAUCAAUAUAAAGCUGGGCUGAUAAGGCCUUCAUAAUUAUUGCAGCUAACAAACCAACGCCUACAAGCCCAACAUAUUACACUAGCUGACAAGAUAUGCUUACAAGCCUCUAAUGGUGGAUAUACUUUGAUCGGAAUAGCUCCCCGACCUACUCAUAACAUAUAUACACAAGAUAUACAUAAAGCUCUAGACCCGGCAACUCCGAAGGGCAUGAAGCUUAUCGAUCAAGCUGAACUCGGGCAACACCUAAUGAAGAGGUCUACCCGUCUGUCUAUCUAAACCUGCACACAUGAAAUGCAGUACCCCCAGAAAAGGAAAGUCAGUACGAAAUAAUGUACCGAGUAUGUAAGGCAAUGUACUGAAAGCUGAAACAGAACUGAUAAUAUAAUAACUGCAAGUAGCUAGAAGUCAAACAUAAUCUGAAGAUAUGCUUACCUGCUGAUACUGACUCAGCUCUCUCAAUAUAGUAAGUAAAAUAGUUGUCCGACCGGGGCUCGCUCAUAGGCGCUCGGCCAUAGUAGGCUCGGUAUAUAACUUACCAUCUGAUUAGAGGUUGCCCAAUAGGGGCCUGCACAUCAAUUAUAGCUCGAUAGUAAUGAAAAUACUUUUAAUACUGUAUAUUUAAACUCUCUGUUCUCUUGACUGGAAGAAGGAAAUACUCAAUUGAAUAUAAAGUCCCGAUAAGGAGAAUAUUGUAACUUACAAAACUAGGAAAAUAUACGUAAUUUGCGGGACUAGCAAAUAUACGUAAAUUCCGGGAUAUGAAUUUUUCUUUAUGCCUUGUAUCAAACUUGUGUAAUGACGAGAUCAUGAAAAAAUGAAGGAAGGACUUAGUCUUAACGUACUUGAGCCGAUUCUCUUGACAAUACUUCUAACACACGCCAAUCUCGAUGAAACACGUAAUGGUGAAUCGAAGUAGGGGAAAAUUCGUGUGAUAUUCUUGAAAAAGAUUGUACCGUGCUCUCUUAGAAUCGCAAAGUCCUAUUGCGAUUACACAGUAUAACUUCAUUGCAAACCUCUUAGAAUUGCAAAUCCAUAUUGUUGCCUUCAAUUCGUAUAGAAUUGCAAUUCUCUUAGAAUUGCAAAUGUAAGAUAUGCAUUUUAGUGAUUAUCUUGGAGUCUUUAUCAAAUAGAGUGGGCCCCACUUGGAUGACUUAGUCACAAAAUUCUUCUUAAAAUGUGCAAAAUUCUUAAGAGUCAUUUUGUAUGUCAUUUUAGAAUUCGUGUGAUAUUCUUGGAUGUCAUUUUAGAAUUGCAAAAUUCUUUUUACAUGACUUAAGAGUCAUUUCUUGUCUUGAUCAAGACAACCUUGGGCUGCCACUUUAAGGUUUAAUCCUUAUCCAAAAAUUAUCUACUUAAUUCCAUAAUUAACUUGUUAAUCGCCCACUAACCAAUAAUUGACCAAUUAUCCACAUAAUUAAGAAUUAUCUCAAAUUACUUAAAAUACUACUCACUUUUAACACACCUUAUACACCUUACUAUUAUGGUCAUGUGGUAUCUUGUAUGGCACUAGCCCAUAAAUACCGGGUAUUUUAGCUCGGGCCGUAUUUUAUCUCAAGUGUCAAACUUUGAUGAAAAUUUAUUUUCUUUAACUUGCUUCCCCUCUCACCUUCACGAAUUUACUCAUCAUUUGUUUGAAAUAGCAUAACCCUUAUAAUCUCAAAAUAAUCUUUUCCUUGGACUGAUGUCAAUUACCUUACGACAAAUUCAACGUACAAUACGACAAGGUGCAACAUCGUCAUAACUUAAUACUGCAAAGCAUAACAUCAUCGUAAUGUAAUACUGCAAGGCGUAACAUCAUUGUAAUAUAAUACUACAUGAUGUAACAUCAUCGUAAUAUAAUACUGCAGGAUGUAAUAUCAACGUAAUAUUGCGGGGAGUAACAUCAUUCCCCCCUUUGGAAUAUUUGUCCUCGAAUGUUGGCUGAUGCACUUAUCAUUCUCAUAACUCAUAGAUCUUGCGAAUACUUUAAUAUUCUCCUUUCCGUUUAGGCAACUGUUCAUUGAAUAAAUUCUAAGGCCAGGGCAUUCCCCCCUUUAGGACUAUUUCUCAUGCCAUGACUUGUGAUCGAAUUCCUUCCAAUCUCGUAACUGUUGCUACCUCCUAUCAUGUAGCCUCUACAAUACUGAACUUGUCAGUGGGUCUAUGCAACUCUUCUCUCCUUUUUGCUUCAGCUUUUAGCCAAUCUCUAGGCCUUACUUAGUAAACAUAUACAAUGCUUAAUAGAAUGCCUCUCUAGGCAUCUAUAGGUGUACUGAAGUUCUUCGCUCGGUACUUUUUAGAACUUGCAAAUAUGGCUAUAUCUUAUUUCAUAGACCUGGUUAUCCUUUUGUAUGACUUUACUGCAUUUACGUAGAUCAUACUAUACCAUAAUUCUUACUUCGAUUUAUCGUUACAGAGGUCUACAACUAACUCCAGGUUACUCGCGUUGCUUAUCCUUAAGACUGAUGGUCUAAUCUCAUCUCAUACUGUUAAACUUUUAUCCAUCUAUUGUUGAUUCACCUUAAUGUUGGUUCAUCAUCUACCACUGAUAACUUGAUCUUUUAUGUAACACCGCCGCUAAGGCUCGCGUCUCACCGGGGACAUUUGGAGUAAUUAGAUUGAUCCACCUAGGGGUGUUACUAUACUUCCAUAACCAUACUUUAUAGCAUCCCAAUAUGACUUACCUUAUAUGAGUAUUUUAGUCCCUUACAAUUCAUGAAUCCUCUUUCCCCCCCCCACUCUUUUUUUUCUUCAAAUCAUUACUCAAGCGAAGGCCCAAAUGUCAUCCUUUAUUUAUCACAAUUACACCCUCAUUUUUGCUACCAGGGAAGCAUUCCAUAUCUUUUAAAUUCUACUAGUCUUAGACUCUUUUGAGCUCAUUUAGGCAAUAUUGAGCUUUCUAUAACUUAGAGGAACCAUCAGCUGCCUUGUUUUCACGGGCUUAAUCCCGAAGAAUUAUUCAUUUUCGUCACCUUUUCACUUGCUUUCUUCUUAUCCUUACUCUUGUCUUUCUAAAACCUUGUCAUUCUAUCAUACUUUAGCUUGCGAUCGAUUCCCUUAUGCUUUUCUGGAACAUCAAGCGAGGCAUCGCAUCGUCUCUAACUUUUAUUUUACUCUCUAAUUAGACCUUUCGGUACUUAGAAACCAUAGGCUGGAAGGUAUGCCAUUGACGAUGCUGCUAUCAUUCCUAGUUACUAAAUCCCCACACUUCUAGUCUUUUACCUGAAGUAUGGACCACUCUCAUCCUUCUAUACUUGAGUAUUUCGUACGUUGUUCACCUUUACCUUACUUACUUUAAAAUAUCACCUCACAUUCUUCUAUCUCUCUUUCAUAACCUCCCUGCAACAUAGGUAUAAAUCACAUCCACCAUUUGAAGCUCUAUUAUAAUACUUGCACCUCUGGUACCUAUACAAUCCGGUGGGAGUUCCAUACUGAAUUCUUAUGAGGCUGGUAUUUUUCUAACUGGCUUUAUUGUAGAGCCGUUAUAGAAUAUGGUUGUUGUGCUAUCUCUCUUGCACCUCUAAUAUUAAUAGUGAUGCUUCUAUGUUCUCAAUUAUUAUUCUUAUAACUUCUGGGUGCAAUAAUCGGAUUCCUGAUUUACUUCGUUGAUGUAACUCUUUUGUUUCCUCCUUCUUUUGAUUGGCCUUUAUGUCGGCUUAAGUUAUCUCCCUAUCUGGGGUUCAUGGUAUUAGUUAUUUUAUUUAGCCUUUCAUAGGCACUGAGGAAUAUGCAUGAUACAAUCCUUUAACAAUUUAAUCCUUCGUUUAUGACUUGGGCUCAAUUCUUUCUUUUAACGUAUACCCGAAACUUCUACGGCCGUAUAUGUUGCGUGUAUAAAACUUUGAAUACAUAAGUGCGUUCAUAAUGUAACUAACUCUGGAUCAUUGAUCGAAUAAUUUCUUUCGUUCCAUCUUAGCUUUCUUUCAACGUAAGCUAUUACAUUUCCUGGUCUUUCUUCCCCCUUGUUGUGUCCAUACUUAGCUUAUCUUAGUGCCCACACAUGCCAAAGUUUUCGUGCAAUUCAUAUGAUCUCGAAUAUUACUUCUAAUUUUACUUCCCGUUUAUUAGCCACGGUAGAUGCCACUUUCCUUUGGAGUGCUUACAAUGUUGUUGUAAGACUGUUGUUACAUGACCAUUUCCUCUUUAGGUCAUUGUGCUUAGGUUAAAUCCUUCUUCCUUAUUUCCUCAGCUAGUCUUUCAUUGUAGUACUUAGGGAGAACCCUUGACUCUCGUAAAUGUGUGAGCUUAUUACGGACCUUUUGAUGCCUUUCCUUGCCUAUAAUCAUCUGUAGUUGCUUACCUCCGUUCCCUUGUGCUUGUAGGGUUGCUUCUGAACUGAUAUUUUGACCGCCUUCCCAGUUGCACUUUCUUUUAUCCCCAUAACACUUAUACAGUAUCUUUAUCUACCCCGACUCCUAUUUGAAUAUAUCUCAAGUAUUAUAAUGACAUUACUACGAGGUUGAAUUCUCCAUGUUGGGGUUUACUACAUUUAUCUAGCAUGAUCUGCUGAUUUGUCUGCAACUUCUUGUCUAAUCAUGACUAGGCUCCUCCUGAAUUAACUACUAACUACUGGUCGGCCCAUUCUCAUAUCCAUAUUCCGCGUAAUCUUUCUUGGGUUAUUUUCUUGUCUUAACUUACCUCACGUACUGGCUCCUUAUCUAUUAAUAACAUCCCAAGCAGGAACCCUUACUUCCUUUUCUUGACGUCGUGCUUACAUAACGCUUUGGAGUCAUAGCAUAUCUGUAGGAUUUGGAUCAGUGCAAUCCCAUCCCUUUCUCAUUUUUAUUGCAUCCUUCCUUUAUCAUUCCAUAUUCCCCCCUUUAGGGGAGUACUAAGACUUGGAGCUACAAUGACCUGCCUAUAGAUGUUUUUCCUCUCCAUCUUUGGCGUCUUUUCGCAUCAUCAAUGACCCUUACUCGCCUUAUCGCAAUCCUUAUGUACCAAGGAUAACAAAAUUCCUCACUCUCAAUGGUGGCACUUAGUGUAACUGGAACAUAUAGUCCCUUAAGCUUAACUUUGCUCACAUUGCUUGCUUUAGGGAAGCGUAUUCCUAGAUGACCAUUUUUUGAAUUCAUCAUGGACCUUCUUCUAUUGUCCAUUCUAUUACUGCGAGAACGCAAUCUGAAAUUCUCAUGAUGCUGACUAUUAUUAAAUUACGCAGCUCCUAAUUUAUGUUUAGUUUAUCUUGUUCACUAGUCCAUAUUGAUUUCUAUUACUCUAGGGUCUAACCUUUCCUUCUGUUAAUCAUGUUAGAGCCGCAAACGUAUUUCUCGAAAUGAGGACGUGACUGUAUGGCCUAUACUCUUUUCUUGUCUUAAGGACCAUCACCUCUCGUCUCUUUCUUCAUUUGACUAUAGAUUAUGUAAUACUCUACUAUUGAAGGUAACUCAAAAUGCUUAUAUUUCUCUGCCUGAGUUGAAAAUACCGAUAAUCUUUAUUAACUGGGUACCCCGUACCCUUUUCACUUUGCUUCUGUUACUUGCUCGAACUCAUGUCUACUUUUCGAUUCUCUUUUUAUUUUCUUUUUUUCCUAUCGUAAAAGUGGAUAGUCAUUCUUUCCUUAGGGAUCCUUAUCAAGAAUCUUACACAUCUUAGUAUACACAUGGUCUGCUGAAUACUUCAUAUUUAUCCAUCAUAAGCAUGAUGCAAAAAUUGAGUUCUUCUAACUCAACUCUUCCACAACUAUAUCUCUUACCACCUAUCUUUCUGGAUAUAGGCAUCAUCAUAUUACGAAUAAAAUAGAAGUUCGGAAUUUGAAUUCUUAUAAGUGAGCUCUACCAAACGAUCUAGAGUAAGAAGAAAGAGUGACAGUCUUAAAUGCCCUGUAGCCUCCUGCUUAUAAGUGUGGUGCACAACACACCCAUAAACAAGACUCUACUAGACACGGCUUGUAGACUCCCUAGGACAGAACUGCUCUGAUACCACUUUUGUCACGCCCUGAACCUGGGGGCGAGACCGGUAGCCAGUGCCUCACCUAUCCUUGUGUACCAACUUGCAACUAAGGGAAUCUGAACAUAUGAUUUCAUACUUUGGCCAUGGGCCACAUUGCAAGACAACUGCGAAUGCUGACUAAAUAUCAAUAUAAAGCUGGGCCGACAAGGCCGUCAUAAUUAUUGCAGUUGACAAACCAACCAAAUAUACAUACAAGGCAUACAAGCCCAACAUAUUACACUAGCUGACAGGAUAUGUCUAAAAGCCUUUACUAGUGGAUAUAUAGUGAUCGGAACAGCUCCCCGACCUAAUCAUAACAUAUAUACAUAUAUACACAAGAUAUAUAUAAAGCUCUAGACCCGGCAACUUCGAAGGGCAUGGAGCUUACCGAUCAAGCUGAACUCGGGCAACACCUAAGGAGGAGGUCUACCUGUCUGUCUAUUUGAACCUGCACGCAUGAAAUGCAGUGCCCCUAGAAAAGGGAUGUCAGUACAAAAUAAUGUACCGAGUAUGUAAGGCAAUAUACUGAAAGCUAAAACUGAGCUGAUAAUAUAAUAACUGCUAGUAACUGGAAGUCAAAGAUAAUCUGAAGAUAUGCUUACCUAUUGAUACUAACUCAACUCUCUCAAUAUAGUAAGUAAAAUAGUUGUCUGGCCCUAUAAGGCUCGAUGUAUAUAUAUAUAUAUAUAUAAUAAACUGCGCUGCCAUAGUAGACUCGUUCAUAGGUGUACGGCCAUACUAGGCUUUGUAUCUCGGCUAACUGGGCUCGCUCAUAGGCGCUUGGCCACAAUAGGCUCGGUAUAUAACUUACUCUCUGAUUAGAGGUUACCCAUUAGGGGCCUGCCCAUUGAUUAUAGCUCGAUGGUAAUGAAAAUACUUUUAAUACUAUAUAUAUAUAAACUCUCUGCUCUCUUAACUGGAAGAGGGAAAUACUCAAUUGAAUAUGAAGUCCCGAUAAGGGGAAUAUUGUAACUUACAAAAUUAGGAAAAUAUACGUAAUUUGCGAGACUAGCAAAUAUAUAUAAAUUUCGGGAUAUGAAUUUUUCUUUAUGCCUCGUUAUCAAACUUGUGUAAUGACGAGAUCAAGCAAAAAUGAAGGAAGGGCUUAGCCUUAACGUACCUGAGCCGAUUCUCUUGACAAUCCUUCUAACACACGCUAAUCUCGAUGAAACACGUAAUGGAGAAUCGAAGUAGGGGAAAAUUCGUGUGAUAUUAUUGAGAAAGAUUGUACCAUGCUCUAUUAGAAUCGCAAAAUCCCAUUGCGAUUACACAGUAUAACUUCGUUCCGAAUCUCUUAGAAUUGCAAAUCCGUAUUGUUGCCUUCAAUCCUUAGAGAAUUGCAAUUCUCUUAGAAUUGCAAAUGUAAGAUAUGCAUUUUAAUGAUUAUGUUGGAGUCUUUAUCAAAUAGAGUGGCCCCACUUGGAUGACUUACUCACAAAAUUCUUCUUAAAAUGUGCCACCUUUUUACGACUUAAGAGUCAUUUCUUGUCUUGAUCAAGACAACCUUGGACUGCCACGUUAAGGUUUAAUCCUUAUCCAAAUAUUAUCCUCUUAAUUCCUUAAUUAACUUAUUAAUCGCCCAUUAACCAAUACCGGACCAAUUAUCCAUAUAAUUAAAAAUUAUCUCAAAUUACUUAAAAUACUACUCACUUUUAACAAACCUUAUACACCUUAUUAUCAUGGUCAUGUGGUACUUUGUAUGACAUUAGUCCAUAAAUACCGGGUAUUUUAGCUCGGGCCGCAUUUUAUCUCAAAAUGUCAAACUUCGACGAAAAUUCAUUUUUUUUGACUUGCUUCCCCUCUCACCUUCACGAAUUUACUCAUCACUUGUUUGAAACAGCAUAACCCUUAUAAUCUCCAAAUAAUCUUUUCCUUAGACUGAUGUCAAUUACCUUACGACAAAUUUAACGUAUAAUACUAUAGGGUGCAACAUUGUCGUAAUUUAAUACUGCGAAGCGUAACAUCAUCGUAAUAUGAUAAUGCAAGGCGUAACAUCAUUGUAAUAUAAUACUGCAGGACGUAACAUCAUCAUAGUAUAAUACUGCGGGAUGUAAUAUCAACGUAAUAUUGCGGUGCGUAACAAGGAUCCUAGAGCUUUCACGAUUCCUUGUACAAUUGGAAGUUCCGAGUUUGCUAAAGCUCUUUGUGAUCUUGGGGAAAGUAUCAAUUUGAUGCCCUAUUUGGUUUUCAAGACCUUGUGAAUUGGGCAACUAAGACCCACCUCUAUGAGAUUGCAAAUGGUCGAUCGUACUAUGAAGAUACCUCUGGAGUUGAUUAAGGAUAUCUUGGUUCGUGUUGAUAAAUUUAUUCUUCUAGUGGAUUUUGUCAUUCUAGAUAUUGAAUUUGAUUAUGAGGUAUCGGUUAUUCUUGGAAGACCUUUCCUUGCUACGGGGAAUGCUCUUUGUGAUGUUGAAGCUGGAGCACUCACCUUCCUGGUGGUUGAUGAACAAGUGAUUUUCCAUGUGUGUAAGUCCAUGAACCAAAUAGCAACAAGGUGUGCUCUUUCAUGGACUUAGUGACCGAUGUUAUUGUUGAUAAAAAAAGUGCCACAAUCAAUGUUGGUGAUAUGUUGGAGGCCUUCUUGCUCAACUUUGAUGAUGACGAGAUGGAUGGCUUCAUGGAAUGUGUGAACUCUUUUUAAGGAAUGGAGUUAUACAAAUAAGCACCCCGGAAACUAUCUUUGGAUCUUGAAAAUAGGACAAGUGAUGGUAGGCUAUAAUCUCAUGUUUUAGUCAAUUAUUACAUUCCAAUUUACUGCACUUUAGUUGAGUUUGAGCUUUAAUCGCGAGUAUUUUGCACUAAUUAUGUGUUUUACUCCUUGCAAAAGUGAUUCCGAGCUAUAUAGAUGUUUUGAAAUGAAUUCAAGUAAUUUUGAGCUUUGAAGUCUGAGUAAAAUCCUAAGGCAUCAAUCCUGGAUCGUGUUCGGGGAUCAAUGGAUGGUAGUUAAGAACGAAUGAAGAAUCGAGCAGGCAUAUUGCGCGGUGUCCAGUAAAAUGCACAUAACUUUUAGCUCGAAACUCUGUUUGGACUGCACAAUAUAUUGUUGGAAAGAUAGUUCAAAGGGAUACAACUUUUGUGUUUUAUAUUUGAUCAAAUUCCCAACACAACUGGGUGAAACGUGCAUGAAAAGUGUGCAGCCGCGCACUUACCGCGUAUAUGGGGCAGAACAGCGUGAAAAGUGCGCAGGCGCACUUCUAGGUGUGCGGCCGCACACGUCCAGUCCGGGAAAAGUAUCCUUUUUCGUGUAGGAGAAGGUGUAUUUGUUUGGGUCUGACCCUACUUGGUAUAUAUACAUGGAAAAACGGUAUUUUGAGGACUUUUGACACAUUUAAGACCUAAUGAGGCUAAGGAGAAGUUAGAGAAGCAAGAGCACAAGGAAUCCAUCAUUCAAUCUCAACUCAAGACAAGGGUUUGGAUUGUUUUAUCUUUUUCUUUACUUUAAACUUAAUUGUGAUGAAUUACUCCCGGUGUUUGGAGUAGUUCUUUUUCGGGUUUGAUGGAUUUGGUGUAUCGAUACUUGUGUGUGGAUAAUUAACCCUAGUUUUUAUGUAUUGAAUCGUUUUGGAUGCUUUUAUCGUUGCAUCUAUAUUUGCUAGUUCAUGUAAUCGAGAGAGGAAUAACUUGUGAUAUUUUUGCAUUCUAUCUUGUUGGUUGAAUUCAUUAAUUCUUCUUAGUAAUCGAAAGAGUCUAGUAGAAUUAUUGAUUAAACCUAGUUAGGAGGAUAAUCGAGAGAGAUUCUCCUAAAGACCAAUCCACUACGAAUUCUUGCAUAUCUUCACGUGCUUAAAAUUGGUUCAUCUUGUGAGAUUGAGACUUAAUUGAGAGAGGAGUUUCUACUGAUCAAUUGAAUUAAUAACCAAGUGUUCGAGAGACUCACUUUAACAUUAGAAGUGAAUUAACUAGAUUUUAAUCCCGAACAUUUGUCUUGCACCUAUCCUAUCAACCCUAUCUUCUCCCAAUUGAUAUCUUCCUUUGCUUAAUACUUGUUUUGAUUGUCAUUAGCCAAUAGUUUAGAUUCUUAGUUAAUUUUAUCUUUAAAUCUCAAUUGUUGAUCACCUUGGAUAGCAAUCUAGCUACAAACAACGAUAAGAUGUUAACUCCAAUCCUUGUGGAUACAAUAUUAUACUUACUAUAUUCGACUAGUGAGCAUUGUGUUUCAAGCUCGUCAAAUUUCGGCGUCGUUGCUGAGGAUUGGCAAUCAAUAGUGUUCGAAAUAGUUUGUAGUGCUAAUUCAGGAAUUUUUCUUUUUAUUUUAUUUUUUCUUUUUACGCUUGGUAUUCUUUGACUGUGCGCAUGCUACAGGUUAGAUUGGUGCAUGACUCGAUCUUAUGGUAAGGAAUUACAACCAUACAAACCAAAAAUCAAAAAACAUCUGCGACAAUUGAGGAAGGAAAGAAAUCUUCCCAAGAAUACAAAAACGGUUGGGCAAUCCUCAACCAAAGAAAGGAUGGCGGGAGAUGAUGAUAAUGUUGAUUUGGCUGCGGGAGAGGCAGCCCAACUCGGAGAAAAAGCUACAAGAGAUGCUGAAGAAGCAAAACUUAGAGAUGAACAAAUUGUUUAUGAGGAGGAGAUGGCUCGAAGAAUGGCUCAGAAUUAGCCCUUGGGUGCAGAACAGUUCGGUGAUGUAGCCCCUGGCCAAGGGAUACCACUUGGUGAUUAUGCUAGACCAGUCUACGACCAAGUUUUAUCAAGUGUGAGACCACCUCCAGUUGUAGCCAACGAUUUUGAAUUGAAGCAAGGGUUGCUUCAAAACCUCCAAAACAAUUGUGUCUUUAGAGGAAAGAUGAACAAAGAUCCAAACAAUCAUCUAAUGGACUUCAAGGAGAUCAUUAACACCUUUCAAUACAAGGUGUGUCAUAAGAUGCAAUGUACUUAAGGGCAUUCCCCUUCACUCUGAAAGAUCAAGCAAAACACUGGCUUCGAAGCUUGCCUCAAGGAUCAAUUAGAACAUGGGAGGAUACGACCUCAAAAUUUCUUGCUAAAUAUUUCUCCUUGGCUAAGAUGGGCAAGUUUAGAAGAGAAAUCCAUAACUUCUGCAAGAAUGAGACUGAGACUGUGUUUGAAUCAUGGGAGAGUUUGAAGAGAUUGUGCGAAAGUGUUAACAUAGCGGGAUUGAAAUCUGGAUGCAACUCCAAGACUUUUGGGAUGGUUUGACACCAACCUCACGUAGAACAUUGAGCAAUGCAGUUGGAGGUCUGUUAAUGAAGAAGACUCAAGAGGAGAUAGUCACUAUUCUAGAUGAGUUAUCUGAAGAUGCAAAUCAGUGGCCCUCAUGGAUUGCUGAAAGAAGAAGAUCAACUAGUGUUCACCUAGUUGAUACUAACACAUCUGUGCAGGUACAACUUGAUUCCAUGGCAAAAGAAAUCAGAAAGCUAAUCUUGGCCUCAAUACACAAUGAGCCUCACGCAGCAUGUGAUAUAUGUGGAAGAGGACACCCUACUCAUGAGUGUCAAGCUACCAUGGAGGAAGUUAAUGUUGUGGGUAAUUACAAUUUCAAUGCAACGGGUCAGAAGCACACCUGUUUUUCAUGGAGUUCACUUGGGGGUACAACAAAUUCAUGGCAACAAAAUAACUCCAGAUUUCAAGGAGCUUUUGGUUUUGUGAAUUAGCAGAGGCCGCAGUUUCAGCCUCAACAACCAAUUUAAUCUAGGUUAGAAGAUCUAAUGAAAUCCUUCAUUGUCAAGACUGAUGAAAGAUUAUUGUUCAUGGGGCAGCUAUCAAGGAACUUGGGACAAGUUUGCGUAAUUUAGAGUGACAAGUGGGAUAAAUUGCAACUGUAUUAUCUGAAAGGAUUCCAAGUACUCUGCCUACUGAUACCGAAAAUAAUCCCAAAGAAAUGUUAAAUGACGAGACCUUGAGAAGCGGACAAGUAUAAAGGAUCCCACUCCAUUUCACAAAGAAGUUGCGCCUGAAGAAGAAAGUGGGAAGGAGCUGAAAAUUGAAGAUGAUAAAAAGACUAAAAAGAAGAAAGGUAAGAAGGGAGUAGAGAAAAAGAAGAAGGAGGAAACUUCAAGAAGGUAGGAAUCUGAAGAUGUGAGCAAGCACAUGCCUGCUCUACCUUUUCCACAAAAACUCUAUAGAGAAAAACUAGACAAGCAGUUCGAGAAAUUUUUAGAUAUGCUAAGUCAGGUUAAUGUAAACCCGCCAUUCACUGAAGUUCUCUCACAAAUGCCAGCUUAUGCAAAGUUCUUGAAGGAGUUACUUACAAAGAAUAGGAAGAUAGAAGAGACCUCAGUGGUCAAGCUCACAGAGCAUUGCAGCGCGAUCAUACAAAAUAAACUCCUACAAAAGUGUAGAGAUCCAGGGAGUUUUACUAUACCUUACUCUUUAGGCACUCUUAACCUUAAUAAAUUUUUAUGUGACUCUGGUUCCUCAAUUAAUCUAAUGUCAUUGUCUGUUUACAGGAAACUGGAGAAGGAGAUUGGAGAGAUAAGGUCAGUGCUAAUAUCUUUGCAGCCGGCAGACCAAACGACUAUAACACCCGAGGGGAUAGUAGAAGAUGUUUUGGUGCGGGUGGAUAAGUUCGUAUUUCUUGUAGAUUUCAUAGCGGUGAAUAUAAAGGAGAACAAGGAGUUCUCCCUCAUCCUAGGAAGACCAUUUUUAGAAACGAGUGGAGCUAUAUUGGAUAUAUAUGAUAGAAAACUUAUUCUUAGAGUGGGUGAAGAGAUGGUGAUUUUUGAGAUGAAUAUAGCAACUGGAGUGAAAAAGGAGAAGCCAGCUGCAAGUGUUGAGUGUAAGGUGAAGGGUGUGAAAGAGAAGGUUGCUAUUAGUGAAAAAGAUAAGUGUUGGGUGUAACUCAAGAAGGCUAAGAAGAAGUUGUCUGCAUGGAUGUGUGCACUAGUUCGGGCGCGCGGAAUGGAGCCCGACUUUGAUUCAGACCCCGACUAAAUAUUCAGGAAAGUUUCCUCUACCUUAUGCUUUUUAAUUGUGUGUCGGGGACAUGCCACAACUUAAAGUUUGGGGUGGGGGAUAUUGUAUGUUGUAUGUAGAUUAGUCUUAGUUUUUGCUUUAAUUAGCUUGAUUGUUUUUGGUUUUGUUAGUUAGUAAAAAUAUUGGAAAAAAAAGCAUUAAAAUUUUAAAAGUUUUGAUUUUUCCCGAUGAUGGAUAUCAUUCGACGGGUUUCUUGAGGGAUAUAAGUCGAAAGAAAACUAUCAAAAAGAUUUUCUUUUGUUAGGUAGUGUAUUCAUUCCCACUUGGUUUUUCUUUAUGAUGCGAUUCUUUUCUAAGGGUUUUGUUUGAACUGGGUGUAGUUAGUUUAUAAUUUUUUUAGGAGUAGGAAACCUUGUGAUACGGUUUCAAAUGAAAACAAUAUCUCUUGACCAUGUUAUGCCUUGAGAAUAGUAAGUGACUUAGUUGUGAUGCUUAGGCUCAGUUUUUGACUCUUGUAUAAGUACCUUAAAUUGUAUGAUCUUAACUUUGCCUAACUACUUUGACUUGAGUGUCUUGAUAGUCCGAUCCUGAGUGAGUUAUGUGCCAUGUGUGUGAGGUUUGUGUUAUUCUGUGCAUUACAUUUGAUGUCUAGAACUUGACCCGUGUGUUUGCAAAAUGAAAUAGUAGUUUAGUCAGUCUUGGAAGUGAUAUAGGCAUUUCUUUGUUGAGCCAGAUAUAUGUGUUGUACCCACCUAAUUGUUAUCUAUCUUAGUUAAUCUUUUUGAGCCUAUAAUCAUGUUUCUUUGGUAACCACAUUACAAUCCUUAAACAUUUGUUUGAAUUGAUCAUCUUUUUGAACCCUGUACCUCUCAUGAGCACUUAAAAUUGUUAUGAACUUUGUAAAAGUUGAAGUGUGGGGUAGUUGAUUUGGCUUUUGAGUGGAAUUAAUUAAAUAAGGAGAAAGGUGCAUUAUUUUGAAAAAGUAAGAGCAACGUGAAUUGAACAAAAAAAGAAAAAAAUAGGUGUACUGUUCUAAACGAGAUUCAUUGAUAAGUGGUAACUCUAGAUGUAAUUAUGCUUAACUAAUUUGGGAAAUUAAUGCAUGUUGAUGUCAUGGUGGAGUAUGGUUUGACAUAAGUGUGAGGUUUGAAUGUUAAAGUGCUUAGGGGUGUGUAGUCACUCUUAUAUCUAAAUGUAUCAUACUCGUCCCGUAGCCUACACUACAACCAGUUAGAAGUUCUACUUGAUCCUUGACUAAUUGAGCUCGAUUAUUAGAGUAGUACACUACGGGCAAUCCUAUGGUUCUUCUUUUGCGACAUAUUAAUGUUGUUUCUAAGAGUGAGUGAAUUCUUUUUAUCUUUAGUUUCUGGUUGUUCUUAAUUUUUGUUGUGUGUGGAACUAUUCUCUUUUGUUGUGUGAGGGCACAUGAUUCAUGAAAUAAAGGUAAUGUCAUUGGAAUCUAUGUUAGAGUAAGUGAGUGAGUUGUGAAUAAUGCGCGGUACGUGUGAGUCAAAUCAUGAGGUGAAGAUGUUACAUUGUUAUGCUUAGUCUAUUUUAAAUAUUCUUAGUGUAAUGAGUUAGGAGAGUUGCUUAGUAAGGUUGUGUCUAUAUAAAGUGUGGUUUGAUUGCUCGAGGACGAGUAAUGGCUUAAGUGUGGGGUGUUGAUGGUAGGCUAUAAUCUCAUGUUUUAGUCCAUUAUUACAUUCCAAUUUACUACACUUUAGUUGAGUUUGAGCUUUAAUUGCUAGUGUUCUGCACUAAUUAUGUGUUUUAUGCCUUGUAGGAGUGAUUUCGAGCUAUGUAGAUGUUAUGGAAUGAAUUCAAGUGAGUUGGAGCUUUGAAGUCUGAGUAAAAGCCCAAGGUAUUAAUCUGGGAUCAUGUUUGGGGAUUAAUAGAUGAUAGUUGAGAACGAACAAAGAAUCGAGCAGGCAUACUGCCCAGUGUCCAGUAAAAUGCACAUAACCUUUAGCCCGAAACUCCAUUUGGGUUGCACAAUAUAUUGUUAGAAACAUAAUUCAAAGGUAUACAACUUUUGUGUUUUAUGUUUUUUCAAAUUCCCAACAAAUCAGGGUAAAACGUGCACGGCAAGUGCACGUCCGCGCACUUUACUGCGCAUAUGAGGCAUAACAACGUGAAAAGUGUGCGGCUAAGUGCGCGGCCGUGCAAGUCCAGUCUUGGGAAAAAUGUCCUUUUUUCGCGUAGGAGAAGGUGUAUUUGUUAGAGCCCUACCCUAAUUGGUAUAUAUACAUGGAAAAACGGUUUUAUGAGGACUUUUGGCACAUCUAAUACCUAAGAAAGCUAAGGAGAUGUUGGAGAAGCAAGAGCACAAGGAAUCCAUCAUUCAAUCCCAACUCAAUACAAGAGUUUGGAUUAUUUUAUGUUUUUAUUUACUUUAAACUUGAUUGUGAUAAAUUACUUCAUGUGUAUGGAGUAGUUCUCUUUAGGGUUUGAUGGAUUUGGUGUAUUGAUACUCUAUUGUAGAUUAUUAACUCUUGUUUUAAUGUAUUGAAUCGUUUUGGAUGUUUUUAUCGUUGCAUCUAUAUUCGCUAGUUCAUGUAAUCGAGAGAGGAAUAACUUGUGAUAUUUUUGCAUUCUAUCUUGUUGGUUGAAUUCAUUAAUUCUUCUUAGUAAUCGAAAGAGGCUGGUAGAAUUAUUGAUUAAACCUAGUUAGGAGGAUAAUCGAGAGAGGUUUUCCUAAAGACCAAUCCACUACAAAUUCUUGCAUAUCUUCAUAUGCUUAAAAUUAGUUCAUCUUGUGAGGUUGAGACUUAAUCGAUAGAGGAGUUUCUACUAAUCAACUGAAUUAAUAACCAAGUGAAUUCGAGAGACUCACUUGAAUAUUAGAAGUGAAUUAACUAGAGUUAAAUCCCAAACAUUUGUGUUGCACCUAUCCUAUCAACCCUAUCUUCUCCCAAUUGAUAUCUUCCUUUGCUUAAUACUUUCUUUGAUUGUCAUUAGCCAAUAGUUUAGAUUCUUAGUUAAUUUUCGUUUUAAAUCACAUAAAUCUCAAAUGUUGAUCAUCUUGGAUAGCAAUCUAGCUACAAACUAUGAUAAUAGAUGUUUAACUCCAAUCCAUGUGGAUACAAUAUUAUAAUUACUAUAUUCGACUAGUGAGCAUAUUUAAGUAUGUGUUUCAAGCUCGUCAACAAGUCCUCCUACAAAGCCUUCCAUUGAAGAGCCUCCUACCUUGGAAUUAUUGAAGCCAUUGCCUCCAUAUCUUUGGUGUAAAUUGUUUGGCCCUUGUUAUACUUUAUUGGUUAUUCUCUCUUCUUGUUUGACUAACGUGCAAGUGGAUUCUACAUUGGUGGUGCUACAAAAAAGGAAUAAGGUUAUUGGGUGGACAUUGGCGGAUAUUCGAGGGAUAAGCCCGCAUUUUACAUGCAUAAGAUUAGAUUGGAGGAAGGUGACAAACUAUCUAUUGAGCAUCAAAAGAGACUCAAUGAGGCUAUGCAAGAAGUUGUCAAAAAGUAAAUUAUCAAGUGGUUGGAUGUUGGGGUUGUCUAGCCCAUCUCCGAUAGUUCAUGGACUUCUCCGAUUCAAUGUGUCCCGAAGAAGGGGGCCAUGACGGUGGUCACCAAUGACAAGAAUGAGUUGAUUCCUACAAGAACGAUGACCCGUUGGAGUGAGUAUGGACUAUCGCAAGCUCAACAAAUUCAUAAUGAAGGAUCAUUUCCCACUUCCUUUCUUAGAUCAAAUGCCUGAUAGAUUGGCCGAUCGUGCAUUCUAUUGCUUUCUUGAUGGGUAUACAGGCUACAACCAAAUCCUUAUUGCUUUGAAGAAUCAAGAGAAAACAACCUUUACAUGUCCCUAUGGUACUUUCUCCUUCAAGCGGAUGCCAUUUGGUUUGUGCAAUGCACCGGCGACUUUUCAAAGGUGUAUGAUGGCUAUCUUCAUGGACAUGGUGGAGGACUACCUUGAAGUUUUCAUGGAUGACUUCUCGAUGAUGGGAGAUUCUAUUGAUGAUUGUCUUGCAAAUUUAGAUAAAAUGUUGGCAAGAUGUAAAGAAACAAAUUUGGUGCUCAAUUGGGAGAAGUGUCAUUUCAUGGUCGAGGAAGGCAAUGUUUUUGGCCACAAAAUCUCAAAGAAUGGAAUUGAAAUCGACAAGGCAAAGAUUGAGGUAAUUUCUAAAACUCCACCUCCAUUCGGUGAAGGGUGUCUGGAGUUUCUUAGGCCACACGGGGUUGUGCCAGCAUUUUAUCAAAGAUUUCUCGAAGGUGGUGAACCAGUUUUGCAAACUGCUUGAAAAGCAUGCUAAGUUCAACUUUGAUAAUGAUUGCAUGAGAGCUUUCGAAUUGUUAAAUUUCAACUUGACAACUACUAGCCCUAAAAUAGACCUUUUACUGUCAUUAGAGAGUCUACAAAAUUGUGACUAAAAUGUGUGGCUACAGGUCUAAUUGUACGGACCAUAGAAAUCAUGUUGCGGCCGCACAAAAUCCAAUUCUCUGUCAUCAGAGAGUUGGCACAUUUUGGAUUUCUGAGUUUCGGCCACAAGAAAAAAUGUGCAGACGGCACUUCACUUUUUGCGGCCGCAAGGAAAAUAAUUGUGCGGUCUGCAAGACCUCAUCUGUGGCCACAAGAAAAUUUUACAGACUACAGAUCCUUAUCCUGCUAGAAUGAUUAAACUGUGACCCCCACUGUGUUCUUGGUGUGUACUUGCAUAUCUCCUUGUUUAACUGAACAUGGAAUUGCAACUAACAAUCACUUUUGCUUGAUACAAAUAAUGGUUCGAUCUAGAGACAGAGGAGACACUUCUAAAGGGAGGGGUCAACCUUCUAGGUGUCGAGACAUGAGUUCCUUACCCCUCGGCCAGCAAAGGACAAUAGCAAAGAAAGCUACAAUCGAUAGAGGGAGAGGUGUAGAUUUCUAUGAGACGAGCUCUUAUGUCUCAUCUAAGGAAGCAUCAGAGGGCAACUCAGCCUCUAUUCAAGGGAAGUCGACUGUAUAGUCAAAGCCACCAGGGAGAUAUCAACUCAGGAACGAGUCGUCCUCAUCUUAUAGUACUUCUAAGGGUUCAAAAAGUGCUAGUCAGGUUCUGAGCCAUCCACUACACCUGCCCCUGAGGCACAAGAUACAUCAGUUUAGGACAUCACCAAUGAUGGCAGAGGGGGAGAUGCUACAACUGCCGACCUUGAAAGGUUAAAGAAAAAAGAAGUCUAGGAGGACUGUUUUGUUUUUUUGGCUACCUUUACCAGCUUUCGUACUUGGUGGCCAGUGAGGUCGUUUACUCUUGAGCAACAGUUUCGGUUGAAAUAACUGGAGAAGUACAACCCAGCAGUGUUGAGACAGUUCAAUGAAUUCAAGGGGUGGAUGUGGUUCACCUACAGUGUGGUGAAUGGAAAAGAGUACCUUGUCCGUGAAUCCUACGCCAAUAUGGCGCAUAUCAAGAAGGGGACAAAGGUCACCAAAGUGCGUAACCUCAAAGUAAGAUUUGAUCAGCAUACACUCAAUGCAUACUUGGAUUUUGAAGAUGUUGAGCCAAAGGAAUAUCUGGAGUAUUUUGUAAUGGGAUAUGCAGCCCGGCCUUGGUUAGCGGAGAUUCUAGAAGCACCAGGGCUACCACCACCCUGGAUGGCCAUUGGGGUUCCUAUUCAUAGGAAUACUCUGAGUUUUGAAGCGAAGGGGUGGCAAACCUUUGUCUGCAGCAGACUAGACCCAUGCUAGAACGAGACCUACCUUCCGAUUCCUCAGGCAAUCUUAGCUGCUUCUAUCAUGACCGGGUACCCUAUCAAUAUAGGGGACGUGAUGUCGGCCAAUAUGUUGGUGAUUGCUUGGCAAGAUGACAAGUCCUAUCCAUAUCCCAACACUAUCACGGAAUACCUCACACAUGCUAAUGUAGAUCCAAGGGAUUAUAACUCAAAGGUGAAGCUGAAGAAGCCUUUCACUUGGUAUAAACUGAUGGAUGCAAAAAAUCUGAAGAAGAAAGUUCAGCCUCCUACCAGUGCGGGCCAGUCUGAUGAACUUGCUAUAAUAUCUGCCGAGGUAGUUGAUAUUCCAUCCACUUUGGUCGAUCCUUCAUCCAGUGCCACAACCAUACAUCUAUCAUCAUCCACAGCCCCUUCUACAACUCCCGCCACAGCUGCUACUUCGGCUUUGAAGCUGGUGCACAUGCCUAUUGCCCCACUUUCUACGUUGUGAGUCUCCCAGACAUUGGCGAGCCUCAACAACUGGAUGCAGACAACAACUGCAAAGUUUUCUGACUUAUCUAGUAGUGUUGCAUCAUAGUCUACUAUUCAGGAAUCUCAGCUUCCCCCGACAGUUGAGGAGAUAUUUUAGAAGAUUCUCGAGAACCAGAACACCAUUAUGGCUACCUUGGUAUUGCACGGGGUCAGUGAAGAGCUAAGAAAAGAAAUAGAGAAGAUGAGAAAGUCCCCGGCCAUUAAGAAGUCAGUGGAAAAGCUUCGGAGAUAGGUGACCAAGCUUGCUGCAGCCGAAGAUAUCCCCUUUGAUAUGUUGAUUGACCACACCAUUCAUUCCCAGAUCCUACAGCACCAUUAGCAACGUUGGCACCAACUGACUAGUCUGAGGAGCCAAACUUUGCUGCCAACACUACCGAGGCAGUGCGUCAGAUGUUCCCCAACCCAGUCACACCCAAAGUUGACGAUGAUGAGAUUCAGUUGUAUAAGACUAAGGGAGGUGACAUAGCCGGGGACACAGAGAUGUCCAAGGAGCCAUAAGGAGUUUUCUUCACUUUUUCCCCCCUUUUACUCUUAUUUUGUUAAGCAUGGGGGACAAUUCUUAUCUUUAUUAGGGGGGGAGUGGAGUUUAUUGAUCAUAUUUGGUACAUUCUGAGAUAUUUGGCCUGUAAUGACUUGAUAUUAUUUUCUUUUUCUUUCUUAUUCUGUAUAUAUUCUCUCUUUUUCACUCAUUAUGUGUAUUCAAUAGUUUUUGUUUAUAAGCUUAUUUAUUUUUGUUCCUUUGUUAGUUCUUAGUUUGAGUUAGUAGUUUCUUUCUUUGAUUUAGUAGCUUCUUUUUACGUUCUUAUGGAUAAUAAGCCUUUGGUUUCCUUAAUGCCACAGUUCUUUCCAAAGGUAGUUGUUGUGUGAACUGAGUGACUCGUCCCAACUAUAGAUGGCGUGACAACCUUCUUAAGGGAAUGAGUCCAUUUUUUGUGUUUAGGUAAUAAUAGUAGUAGUAAUGAAUAAAAAGACCUAAUUAAUUCAUGCUCGAAGAGUUAAACAUGCUUCAAUUGGUACCAACACACUUCACUACAUGCUUAUAGUUAGAAACAAGGUUUUUGAAAGAAAUAACUCUAGUUAGUGACUUUGUAACUCUCGUGUUGACUUUGGCAACCAUCGAGUGGUUUAAUUGAACCAUAGUGAUUUUUAAACUUGAAUAUGGUCAUUGUGGGCCCUCGACUCUAUCCUCUUUCACAAUCCGGUUGCGUGAGGGGUGAGAUAAAUUGUUGCUAGUCCAAGUAUCCAUGUGAAGGGUCUAGAACUUACCCCGAAUGUGUUUCAAGAAAAAAUCCUAAGUUUUGCUUGGUUUGAAAAGUAAUUGUAGGCCCUCCUUGGCGCGUUUGAGUUUUCUAUUGCCAACCAAUGUCAUUAUCCCUAGUCAACCCCUUUGAGCCUCGAGCCUUUCUCAUUUGAUGACCAUGUUAUAAGCCUUUACCAGUUUUGUCGUGACCCUCUCUUGGUACCCAAGCUUUCCUUAACAAUCUUGUGAAACAACUGGCUAAUAAUAUAAGUUUGGGGGAGAGACAAGAAACUUGAAAAAGGUAUCAAGGAACAAAAAGAGAAGAAAAUAUAAGAAGGAAAAGAAAGAAAAAGAAAAGAACAAAAAGAAAAAUGGUAUAUAUAUGAAUGACAAUGGAACUCAGAGCAAGAAAUAAAUAAAUAAUCCUUUCACAGUGUCACGCCCCGAGCCUGGGGGUGAGACCAUCACCUAGUGCCUCACCUAUUCUUGCGUACCACUUGCGACUAAGAGACUCUAAUAUGUAAUGUCGUACUUUGGACAUAGGCCACAUUACAAGAUAAUGUGCGAUGCAAAAUAUAAAACUACAUAGAGACUAACACUGACUAAAUGUCAACAUACAGCUGGGCCGGCAAGGCCAUCAUAAUUACUACAACUAACAAGCCAACAAAAUAUACAUACAGGGCCUACAAGCCCAUCAUAUUGCACUAACUGACAGAAUAUGUCUACAAGUCUCUACUGAUGUAUAUAUUGUGAUCGGAACAGGGCCCUAACCUAUUCAUAACAAAUGAACAUAUAUAAACAGGAUGUACAUAAAGCUCUAGACCCGACAACUCCGAAGAGCAUGGAGCUUACCAAUCAAGCUAAACUUGGGCAACCCUAAUGAGGAGAUCUACCUGUUUGUUUGUCUAUACCUGCACACAUGAAAUGCAACACCCCCCAGAAAAGGGACAUCAGUACGAAAUAAUGUACCGAGUAUGUAAGGCAAUAUACUGAAAACUGAAAUUGAACUGAUAAUAUAGUAACUGCAAGUAGCCGGAAGUCAAAGAUAAUCUGAAGAUAUAGUAAGUAAAAUAGUUGCCCAACCCUAUAAGGCUUGGUAUAUAUAUAUAUAUAUAGAUAUAUAUAUAUAUGCUCUGCCGUAGUAGGCUCGCUCAUCGGCACUCGACCAUACUAGGCUUUGUAUAUCGACCAAUUGGGCUCGCUCAUAGGCGAUCAGCCACAGUAAUAUCGGUAUAUCACUUACCAUCUGAUCAAAGGUUGCCCAUUAGGGGCUUGCCCAUUGAUUAUAGCUCGAUGGUAAUGAAAAUACUUUUAAUAUUAUAUAUAUAAAAUCUCUGCUCUCUUAGCUAGAAGAGGGAAAUACUCAAUUGAAUAUGAAGUCCCAAUAAGGAGAAUAUUGUAACUUACAAAACUAGAAAGAUAUACGUAACUUAUGAGACUAGCAAAAUAUACGUAAAUUUUGGGAUAUGAAUUUUUCUUUAUGCCUCAUUAGCAAACUUGUGUAAUGACGAGAUCAUGUAAAAUGGAAUAAAGGCUUAACCUUGACAUACCUGGAGUAGGGAAAAAUCCGUAUGAUGUUUUUGGAAAAGGUUACAUCGUACUCCCUUAGAACUGCAAAAUUUUACGUUGCUAAAUCUUGUUGGAAUCGUUGAAACUUGUAGGAAUCAUGUUGCUUAAUGAAAGAUGUAGGAUCUGGUUUCAAAGUCUUUGAUAAUGAAAUUUGAAAGAGUUUUAAGAAUGACUAAUGUUUUUGUCUUGGUAUUGAAACUUUGGAAAUGAAAUUUGCAAGGUUUAUUUUGAAAGUUUUAAAGUAAGAGGUGUCUUGUAACUAAGGCAUUAAGAUGCCACUUAAUAUCCAAGUUANNNNNNNNNNNNNNNNNNNNNNNNNNNNNNNNNNNNNNNNNNNNNNNNNNNNNNNNNNNNNNNNNNNNNNNNNNNNNNNNNNNNNNNNNNNNNNNNNNNNNNNNNNNNNNNNNNNNNNNNNNNNNNNNNNNNNNNNNNNNNNNNNNNNNNNNNNNNNNNNNNNNNNNNNNNNNNNNNNNNNNNNNNNNNNNNNNNNNNNNNNNNNNNNNNNNNNNNNNNNNNNNNNNNNNNNNNNNNNNNNNNNNNNNNNNNNNNNNNNNNNNNNNNNNNNNNNNNNNNNNNNNNNNNNNNNNNNNNNNNNNNNNNNNNNNNNNNNNNNNNNNNNNNNNNNNNNNNNNNNNNNNNNNNNNNNNNNNNNNNNNNNNNNNNNNNNNNNNNNNNNNNNNNNNNNNNNNNNNNNNNNNNNNNNNNNNNNNNNNNNNNNNNNNNNNNNNNNNNNNNNNNNNNNNNNNNNNNNNNNNNNNNNNNNNNNNNNNNNNNNNNNNNNNNNNNNNNNNNNNNNNNNNNNNNNNNNNNNNNNNNNNNNNNNNNNNNNNNNNNNNNNNNNNNNNNNNNNNNNNNNNNNNNNNNNNNNNNNNNNNNNNNNNNNNNNNNNNNNNNNNNNNNNNNNNNNNNNNNNNNNNNNNNNNNNNNNNNNNNNNNNNNNNNNNNNNNNNNNNNNNNNNNNNNNNNNNNNNNNNNNNNNNNNNNNNNNNNNNNNNNNNNNNNNNNNNNNNNNNNNNNNNNNNNNNNNNNNNNNNNNNNNNNNNNNNNNNNNNNNNNNNNNNNNNNNNNNNNNNNNNNNNNNNNNNNNNNNNNNNNNNNNNNNNNNNNNNNNNNNNNNNNNNNNNNNNNNNNNNNNNNNNNNNNNNNNNNNNNNNNNNNNNNNNNNNNNNNNNNNNNNNNNNNNNNNNNNNNNNNNNNNNNNNNNNNNNNNNNNNNNNNNNNNNNNNNNNNNNNNNNNNNNNNNNNNNNNNNNNNNNNNNNNNNNNNNNNNNNNNNNNNNNNNNNNNNNNNNNNNNNNNNNNNNNNNNNNNNNNNNNNNNNNNNNNNNNNNNNNNNNNNNNNNNNNNNNNNNNNNNNNNNNNNNNNNNNNNNNNNNNNNNNNNNNNNNNNNNNNNNNNNNNNNNNNNNNNNNNNNNNNNNNNNNNNNNNNNNNNNNNNNNNNNNNNNNNNNNNNNNNNNNNNNNNNNNNNNNNNNNNNNNNNNNNNNNNNNNNNNNNNNNNNNNNNNNNNNNNNNNNNNNNNNNNNNNNNNNNNNNNNNNNNNNNNNNNNNNNNNNNNNNNNNNNNNNNNNNNNNNNNNNNNNNNNNNNNNNNNNNNNNNNNNNNNNNNNNNNNNNNNNNNNNNNNNNNNNNNNNNNNNNNNNNNNNNNNNNNNNNNNNNNNNNNNNNNNNNNNNNNNNNNNNNNNNNNNNNNNNNNNNNNNNNNNNNNNNNNNNNNNNNNNNNNNNNNNNNNNNNNNNNNNNNNNNNNNNNNNNNNNNNNNNNNNNNNNNNNNNNNNNNNNNNNNNNNNNNNNNNNNNNNNNNNNNNNNNNNNNNNNNNNNNNNNNNNNNNNNNNNNNNNNNNNNNNNNNNNNNNNNNNNNNNNNNNNNNNNNNNNNNNNNNNNNNNNNNNNNNNNNNNNNNNNNNNNNNNNNNNNNNNNNNNNNNNNNNNNNNNNNNNNNNNNNNNNNNNNNNNNNNNNNNNNNNNNNNNNNNNNNNNNNNNNNNNNNNNNNNNNNNNNNNNNNNNNNNNNNNNNNNNNNNNNNNNNNNNNNNNNNNNNNNNNNNNNNNNNNNNNNNNNNNNNNNNNNNNNNNNNNNNNNNNNNNNNNNNNNNNNNNNNNNNNNNNNNNNNNNNNNNNNNNNNNNNNNNNNNNAUCUCUUGAUUUAACUUAUUAUUUAUGGUCCUAUUUAAACCAAAUCAUUCCAUAGUUAGCCAAAUUGGCACAUUUUGGCUAAAAUUGCAAUAACUUUGCAAUUAUAGCCCAAUCAUUGGAUUUUAUACUAUUUUUGACCAGAAAUUAAUCAUUUGUAUUCUUAAAUACUAAGUAUUCAUUUUUAAUUAUUUUCUAUGCAUAAAAUUUAUUUUGUACAAUUAUCAGCAAUUUUUAUAAAUUAUUUUAUUCAAUUUAAUUGGGUAUUUAACAAAUAACCCCAUUUUAUUUCAAUUAUGACCUAAUUAACCAGCCCCAAAACCCCAAUCAAAUCAGCUCAAGACCCAGGCCCAAACCUAAUCCUACCCGACCCAAUUCUGUCCAAAUCCUGGCCGUUGAUCAUUUCUGAUCAAUGGUUCAGAUUAAUUCCUUCCUUAAUUAACCUAAAAGACAAUCCCCCCAAACCCUUAUUUCUCUCAUUUCCUCUCUUUCACUCCGCCGUUACACUCUCUCAUUCUCUCUCAAGCCCUCUGCUCUACUCGCCGGCCGUUGGCUCGCCGGUAUCAAUGGUGGUUCCACCACCACCCCUAGCCUCCAUGGCUCCCUCACAUGCCAGAUCCUUGCUACCUUGAGUCCCUCAAAGGAACCAAAAGGCGGUUCACUCACCUCCCAUGGUUUCUAUGACAUUCCAUGGCCGUCCGAGUAAGAUUCUACCGUCUUCGGCUAGAACCUAUGGUUUCUAGGUCGGUUCUCUUUCUUUCUGGGAUGUCUCUAUGAAACCCCAACUACUAGCUCCUGAUUUCUUAGAUCUGUAACAUAUCUGAGUAUAUUUUGAGUGAUCUUUACUGUUUUCUUGAUAAUCUUUCCAAUUUUUCAAAAACAUCUCUUCAUCUUCAAAACUAGGGUAUCUUAACCCCUUUACAAAAUGACUUCUCCUCUGAUUUUCAAUAUUAUUCUAUGAUUUCUACUAUGUUUAAACGAUUUAUUUAAGUUUUCCUUUUAUCCGAUUCAUUAUGUUGAAAACCCUAAUUUCUUAGUUCUAAUCCUGGGUUUUUGAGUUUGUUUUUGAUAAUAUGAUUCAACUAAUCUGUAUGUUUCUCAUGAACACUCUGUGAUUCUUAGAUCUUAACCCUAUUUUUUCUUGUUAGGUUUUUUGACUUCGACUAUUUCUGCCUAUUAUGUGUUUAUUUCCAGAAAAUUUGUGGCUAUUUCCUCUCAUCAGUACCAUCAUUUACUUUGAACCCCGGAUAUAUGUGAUUCUUUUACCCUAUUCUUAUUUGUGUUAUGUUUGCUUCGUUUAAUUGUUAUACUUUCCUUUGGCCAGUGUUACCUUCUAAUGGAAUCCCUAAUUCCCUGUGAUUGGUAUACUUUAUUCCCUUCUGAUUUCAAUCUAAAUAUUUUCUUGCCUUAUUUUGUGGUUGAUUAUGCUGUCAAAUUGAUUCUUAGACAUUCUCCUUAAUUAGAAUUUGUCGAACCUAGCCUCUAUUACCUGCUUUAUACUAUGCUUAUUUCCUUAUGUGUCAUGUUUAGUCUCACAUUGAUUCUUUCCUUAUUUGUUAUUUGUUUGCACCGUUUGAAGUUAACUCCCUUAAUUAAGGGAGUACUUAUACUGAUUUUUAUAUUAAUUGAUAUCUAAUUCCAUAAUUACUGCUUGACUUUGAUUCUUAGUUUAUUAUUCUACCUAGUUUCAAACUAUAUAUAUGCUCUCUCAUUAACACACACAAACACGAUAACGUUGGUUCAAAACUCUCUCUCUAACACUCAAAGCCUUCUGCCCUCUUUUGUGAUUACUUACUAUUGUUCUAAGUUAGCUGGCUGUAAGCCAAGGCUAACUAUUGUGCUCUCCUAUUCUUCACUUUUUGUUUGCUGUCACUUUACUGGUAUGUCCUGAUUUCAAUUCAAGUUCCAAAACCAAUAUGUUUCAUUUACUCCUUCAGCUUAUCAUGUUUCUAAUUUGUUGCUAUCUAUGGUUCUGUUGUUCAAUGUGUAAUUGACAUGCUUUCAUUAUGGCUACAUCUGGCAUGCUAGUUCUACUCCCCUGGUAGUCUGUUUCAAUAUGACCCUAUCCUGCUUUGAAUACUUGUCUACUUGUUGUCGAGUUUUGACAUUCACUUACUUUGCAAACUGAACUGUCACUAUCAUUGUUUCUAAAAUCCAUACUGUUUUGAUAUCACUAGCUAUUCUCUAAUCCCAUAUAUCCUCACAAGGAUUGCUAUACUCUUGUAACUAUGUGUUUACCUACAUGACCUAUGAGUCCCCAAAACCCUUGACCCCUGUUUGUGGUUGUUGAACCUGCCUUGGUUCUAUGAUCUUUGGCUGUGUAUGAACCUGUUUUGGGGGUGAUGUGUUUGGAUUGUUGUUUGCUACUCCACUCUCUUUUCAAAACUGUCACUGUUGUCUUUUACAAAACUAUUUCAAACAAGUCCUUUUUCAAACUGUUUCCCUGCUUAAAUCCUUUCAAGCACUCUCACAUCUUCUCUUAGGUUUUAAGUUAUGCCCCUCUAAUGUGCGACUGCAUAGGGAUCCCUAUGAGAUCCCUCUGAACUCUGAUACAUUAGAGCUGGCCCUUCCACACUGCACUUACUCAACUAUGGCUACGAAAUAUGGGUGUGACCACUGCUCGGGAUCCCUUGAGGUCCUUAGGGAACUCUGACACAACCAGAUUAUAUGAAAGGCUAUGAGGCAAUCUGGCAUUGAAAAUUUUGGAAAUCUGGCCUAUUGAUAGGCUCCCUAUAAAGUAACUUUUUAUUUUUCUUAUCUACCUAUUUAAUUCAUUCGAUAUUGGCCUGUAAUAAUUUGUAAACGAACAUUGGGGUUGGACAGUGAAAAUGGGAGGGUAGCUAUACAUGUUAUCAAUAUCAAUGGGUAGAAAACAUGCUUUAGGUUUAUAUUCUCUUGUAUCUGCAUUAGAACUCAUGUUUAGGACCAAUACAUGCAAAAGCAUAUCAUGUAUUAGAAACCAUGCUCCUAGGUUCCAUGUCUACUGCUUUCAGCAUCUCACUUUGACAUCUCUAUUAUCACUUAGAAAUCAUGUUUCUAGGAUAAACGACAUUAAAGAUAAACUGUCACCUAUGCAUUUUGAAAUCAUGUUGUAACCUGUUGUGCAUUUAGAAAUCCUACUUUAGGAAUUCUGCAUAUAAACCAUUAUGAACUUUGUACAUGCAUCUUAGAUACCAUGCUUUAGGAUCUCAUUCGUACUUAUUCAGUCACACCUAGUGUAAACCACUGAUUAUGGAAGAUGUAAAAACAGCUUCACAUUUGAUUAUCGUAUUUAAAACAAACUUGUAAUAAUCCCUGCAUUUUAUAACACUUAAAAUAGUAUGCUUUUAGGUAAAAUAACUCCUUCAUUGUUCUAAUAGUUCUGGUAAUAAUUGUGCAUUAUCCUAUGCCUAGGCAAGCCUUAGGUAAUCCAAUUUCUUAUAAAAUUGUAAACUGCCCCUUUGUGUGUACUGCUUAAUGAUUAACAGGCUUAGAAUCAGUAGGCAAAUUGAUUAGGGCCCCUGCUUAUGAGUUAUAAAAUGGGCCUGCAUAUCUACUGUGUUUUGAUACUCACCUAGACAUCAUGUCAUAGGAGACUGUUGCCCUUAUCUGUGUUUGAGUCGUGCUGUUUACGUGCCUUAUCUAUGGAGGUAAACCGAGACUUUUAUUUGCUCCUUCUUGUUCUUAUUUGCUAAGAGUCCUACGUAUUAUUGCUUAUCGCCUUAGUAUUUUUCCUUUAAAGCUUAGGGGUCAGUCUAGAACUGCCUAUAGGUAGAGGCCCUAAUUCCCUCCAGGACCAUUAAGAAGGGACAGGUAACAGCACAUAUAGGGUUGUUAAACAACACUCGCUUUAGUUACCACUAAGGGAUGGGUAAUGGGUAGAUAUGGAUAUGAUGACUAUGCGCUAAUGUCACAUGUAGCCCCACAAUGAGGAGUGUUUAUCGAACAUUGUGUGGGGUGAUCCUGUAGGCUAACCAACCUAGGACCCCUCCUUUCCCAAAUCCCUUCUGUUUAAAACUUUGUUUUAUAUACAACUUGUUCACAACCUUUGUCUUAUUAUUUGAGUUACACAACGUCCAACGUGCUUUACCUGCAAAUUAUUUGAUUCAACUAUUUAUUUGCUAAUGGACUAAUUCAUGAAUAUAAGUUCGGCCUAGACCCACGGUUGUGGACCAAGAGGGGUGCCUAACACCUUCCCCUCGAGGUCAUUUCGAGCCCUUACCCUAAUAUCUGGUAUGCAAACUAGUUUAAGAGUUGAUUGCUCUAGGUGCCCUAACACACCAUAAUCCGUUAGGUAGCAACUCUUCAAAUACCCAAUUCCCUAAAGGAAAUGAGUUAUUGCCCCCAUGAAUGUCGAAACCCGGACUCUCUCCGUGGAGGGAAAAAAGGGGUGCGACAACAUGGCGACUCUGCUGGGGAUGCCUUUAGGCUCUUACCAUAACGAACUUAUCUUUUUACAAAUUAGUCCAAACAUGCUUUAUCCUGUACCCUUCUCCCUUAUUUGAAUUUAACUGUCCAUUUUUAAGCGUUUAUGGUUCUUUAUCCCUGAAACUGACUUGUCUCUUUGUUUUCUUUUUCCCUGUAACUGUCUUUCAAUUAUUUAAAUAUUGUUUUUAUUUUUUCCUACAUACAAAUACUUGACUACAUGUUAUUAAUUGCUGCAUNNNNNNNNNNNNNNNNNNNNNNNNNGUGCCUUCCCUCUCGAGUUGUCCCCUUGAGGGUACCAGUCUAAAACCCCCAUAGAAACCUUACUCUGAUUGAAAUUGUGCAUGCAUCAUGGUCAAACCUAGUCGGAUCAGUUAUGUUAUCCACAUAAUGAUCCUUUAAGAUAAGCCUUAUCCAAAAGUCCAUCGGAUUUUCCAUAAUCUCAACAGACACAACCACGUUCUGUGCAUUAAUUUGUUGAACUAAAUGCCGAUAUAUUGAUCAUAAGUGUAUAAAUAGUCGAGUCUUGUCAGGGGUAAGGCCUAACCUUUUGUUUUGCAGAAAAUGAGGAACGAGGUCCCAGCUUCGGUAUGGUUAGCACACCCUCACUCUUGCUAGACUGGUGGAGGAAUCUUCCAUCAGAUGACAAAAUCAAUGGAUGAAAAGAGAUGGCCGCCAAAUCCAGCGAGAAGCUGGAAUAUCUGGAAUACAGCCUGUUGGAAUUGGAAGGAAAAGUGAGGAAGAGAGUCACCAACAGCCAGAACGCUGAGGGAAAUGAAGGAGGGCAUUUGGCAAAGGCGUUCUUACUGAUGAAUCUGCAAAAACUGGAGGACUUGAUCAACGAGAGCAUUCAACCUGAGGAAGGUCCUUCCGAGACCAAAUAGAUUAGGUUUACUUGCUUUCCAAAUGUAAUAAGGCUAAGUGUCAGUAGUGACUUAUUAUUAUUAUCUUAGUGUCGUUUUGGGAUUCGUCUAUUUUUAUAUUAUGAAAUAAAACAUUUAUUGGCAUUAAAAGUUCUCCAAGUUUAUUUGUUGCUAGGCCUACCUCGGGCACAACGAGGUUCCCAAAGUAGGACACGAAUUUACUUUUCCGCAACAUGUGUUUAAAUACUACAAACUUUUCUGUAUCCUCACUAACGUUUUACCUUUUUUUUUUGUUUUUUUCCUUAUUUUUAUUAUUCCUAUCCCCUUAGGUUGGUUCACUCAUACUGGCCUCAUCAGCAUAUCACACUAGAUCUAUAGGCCCUCCACCUCCUCCUCCUCUAAGCAACACAAAAGAUAGAGGAAAAGCAAAGAUGGACGACUUAAGAGGGAUCCGAAAGGAGAAUAUUGAGAACGCAGAGACUUCAGAUGGCCGUAGUACUCCGGACCCAAAUGAUCUAAUCUUGAGACUAGAACAAAAGAUACUGGAAUUGCAAGGAGAACUUGAGCAGGUUCGCAACUUGGAAAACUUGUCACUCACCCUCAAUGUCCCCGAUAUCCACCAACAAAACACAAAGAACCCGACACCUCCUCAGAACACACAAAACCAACACCCACAAAAUCCUCCCACACCAAAUCAAUAUGCAACGCCACCCUAGAAUCCACUGCCAAUACCAACUCCACCGCAAUAUCAUCAUCAACCAAUUCAGUACCCACCAACCACCACUUACCACACUCCCCAUAACACACCACAAACCAUUCCAGAUCCACAAAACUCCACCAAUGAUCAUCACUACACCCAAGUUCCUGGCACCCAUCAAAGCAGCCCUAUUUGUGGAAACUAUACCUCAUUUUACCCAACCAAUCUCCUGUAAACCGAAAUCUUCCGAGAAGGACUUGCUCAUUAAAAACAUGGUUGAAGAACUCAAGAAGUUAACAAGCUGAGUUCAAGGUGUUGAGUGCGACAGAGGAAUAGAAGGUUUGAACUAUGAAGAUCUGUGCAUACAGCCGGAUGUCGAACUGCCAGAGGGAUACAAACCUCCCAAGUUUGAAAUGUUCGAUGGUACAGGUGAUCUCAGGGCUCAUCUAAGGACCUAUUGUGACAAGCUUGUCGGGGUCGGGAAAGAUGAGAAGAUCCGAAUGAAGCUCUUUAUGAGGAGCCUUACUAGGGUUGCUUUGUCUUGGUAUAUUAGCCAAAAUCACAACAAAUGGUCCAAUUGGGUAAGCAUGGCGUUGGAUUUCAUGGACCAGUUCAGGUUUAACACAGAGAAUGCACCGGAUGUCUUCUACAUUCAGAAUCUUAAGAAGAAACCUACUAAGACUUUCCGUGAAUACGCUACUCGGUGGAGGUCGGAAGUGGCCAAGGUCAGGCCCUCUUUGGACGAAGAACAGAUGAAUAAAUUCUUUGUUAGGUCACAGGAUCCAAAAUACUAUGAGAGGUUGAUGGUUAUCAAAAAUCACAAAUUCUUUGACAUCAUCAAACUCGGAGAAAGAAUCGAAGAAGGAAUCAAGAGCGGGAUGGUAACAAACUUUGAGGCACUGCAAGCCACGAAUAAGGCACCAGUAAUGGUGGCCCAAGGCCCAAAAUCUCCACUUACCUAUCAAACACCUCCACCCACAAAUCAGACACCUCCACCCACAUAUCAAACACCUCCACCACAUACCAAGCAUCACCGCCUACAUAUCAACCUUCAUCUCCCGGAUAUUCCCAACCAGCCACUGUCCAUCACACCUAUAAUUCCCAACCAUCCCACUUCCAAUCACCACCAUCUCGCAAAAAUUAUCCAAGACCAAGACCCAACUUCGACCGUAAGCCACCCAGAUAAUACACCGCCAUUACCGAGCCCAUCGACCAACUAUAUGAAAGGUUGAAAGCCGCAGAUUACAUCACUCUUGUUCCUGUUGUGGCAUUAGAAAAUCCAUCACAAUAGGUCAAUCCGAACAAAACUUAUACGUACCAUUCCGGUAUGAAAGGGAACAUCACUACUGAGUGCCGAACAUUGAAGGAUAAGAUCCAGGCACUAAUUGACAACAAGGUCAGACAAGCAAAGGAAGCCGCACCUAAUGUCCGCAACAAUCCCCUCCCUGAUCACAGAAGUAAUGGUGUAUAUGUGAUAGAGACAAAUGAAGAAUGGGACCUUGAGGGGUCGAUUGGGCUUAUUAGAUAAGGUAAUGACUUUAAAGUUGCAGUCACACUGACUCCUAUUGUGGUACAGACUCAGUCCCCACUCGAGUUUGAGAUAACCGCAUCAGUUCCAUUCGAGGUGGAAGUAGCUCCACCCGCAGCCACCUCCGCUCAAUUUGAAGUAGAAAUGGUCACACAUUUUACUGUGAUAGUAUCAACCGCACCCUCAUUCAACUCAAAAGCAAUACCCUGGGAUUAUGUUGCCGAGGCUCAGCGAAAAGGGAAGGCCAAGAUAGAGGAAUAUGACGCUGCACAAGGAAAGACUAGAACCGGAAGAGUCUAUACAACUGAACACCUGGGAGGUUCAAGUAAGGAGGCUACUACUAAGCUGCCUAUCAUUGAGACCGGGCCAGAUGACCUGUGGAGGAAAGUACAGGCAAAGGAAUACUCUGUUGUUGACCAUCUGAACAAAGUCCCUGCUCAGAUAUCUAUCCGGUCACUGUUGCAGAAUUCAGAGGUACACAAGAAUGCUCUAAUGAAGGUGCAGCGAGGCUUAGGUACCCAACAACAUCACUGGCGGAGAAAUGGCCAAUGUGGUUGGGCAAGUACUAGAAAGUCAUAAGAUCAUCUUUCACGAAGAUGAGCUACCACCUGAGGGGCUGAAUCACAAUCGACAUUGCAUAUUACGGUGCUAUUUGAAGAUAAGUUCAUUGCCAGGGUCUUGGUUGAUGGAGGUUCAAGACUAAAUAUUUGUCCAUUGGACACUCUAAAAAGGUUGGACAAAGGUUUCCAUGAAAUACGGGCAGGAAGCAUGAACAUGAAAGAUUUUGAUGGGCCCCAGAGGGCCACGAUCGGGGAAAUCAAUCUUUGCUUACAGAUGAGGCCAACUUGGUUCGACGUCGAAUUUUAGGUACUCGACAUACCAGCCUCAUAUAACCUUCUGUUGGGCCGACCGUGGAUCCAUACCACUGGAGCCGUGCCUUCCACACUACAUCAAGCCGUGAAGUUUGAAUAGAACCGCUAGGAGGUAAUCAUUUACGGAGAUGGAAGUAACCCCAUUUAUACUAGGCAAACCAUCCCGGCCAUUGGACAUAGAAGGAGGCUAGGAGGGGAGACCUAUCAUCAUAUUGAACGGGUCAACGCCCUCGAGAAGGAUAAGUGGUGGAGUAAUGAAAUAGAAAGCAUACUAGCAUGGUCUAGAUAUGAACCCGACAAAGGGUUGGGAAAGAACCUCCAAAAACCAAUACAGCUGAAAAACCAUGGUACCACCUUUGGGCUCGGAUACCAGUAUACAUGGCAAGAGUACAAUGAUUGGUUGCCUCCAUGGCGUGGAUCGUAUUACCCUCUUGAGCAGCCAGUGCCAUAUUUGGAACAAGAUUUUCACCAGGCUGAUACAAUAUGGGGGACUACAGAAGAAGAAGCACUAGCUAGGUUGAAGAAUUUGUUCUUGGAGGAUGAGGACAUGGAUUGCGGUGCCAUAAUUGAAGAGGAGGAGGAAGAAGGCCUCACUAUUCAGACUGUAGAGAAGGGAGUUGUUCUCAGGAACUAGACCGCCACACCAUCCCGAGCCUGCCGAGUCCCUGGGUAGCCUGGUAGAUUUUACUUCUAUAGUCGUUCUAGGCAUUUAAGACUUCUAGUAAUUUUGUUUUAAGAUUUACUUGUUUCAAAAUAAAUGCUCGAUUCAUCGAGCCAAACUUUGUCUGAACAAUUUUCUCAGUUUUAAUCAAAUGCAUCUGUUCUUUAUCAUUAUUCAUUACUAUUUCUAUACUUUUUCCUUCUAUAGUGUUAUUAUUACUUUUCCUGAUGAACCAGUGAUUGUGACAUAUAACGAGACAACGCAACAUGAGAAUAGUGAUUCAGAUGAGGAAGACGAGAUACCUGAAGAAAUUGUCAGGGAAGUCGAGAAUUUUGAGAACAAGCCUAAGUCCAACUUGGACGAAACAGAAGCAGUAAAUUUGGGAUACGCCGAGACGGUCAAGGAGACUUGUAUCAGCAUUCACUUGUCACCAACAGAGAAGGAAGCGUACGUCCAUUUUCUAAAAGAGUAUGAUGACAUUUUUGCAUAGUCAUAUGAUUACAUGACCGGUUUGAGCACAUCUAUAGUGGCUCAAAAGUUGUCUACUAAUCCCAUGUGUCCGCUAGUCAAGCAAAAACUCAGAAAAUUCAAACCAGACAUGAGUUUGAAAAUCAAGGAAGAAGUUACCAAGCAGAUCACAGCCAAAGUUCUCAGGGUGGUUGAGUACCCAACCUAGUUAGCUAACAUUGUGCCAGUUCCGAAAAAGGAUGGGAAGGUCAGAGUAUGUGUUGACUACCGAGAUUUAAACAAAGCAAGUCCCAAGGAUGAUUUCCUACUGCCGAAUAUACAUAUCCUGAUCGAUAACUGCGGCAAGCAUGAACUCCAAUCUUUUGUCGAUUGCUUCGCGGGUUAUCACCAGAUUUGGAUGGAUGAAGAAGAUGCAGAGAAGACAACUUUAUUACACCAUGGGGUGUAUACUAUUACAAGAUGAUGCAAUUCGGUCUGAAGAAUGCUGGGGCCACUUACAUGAGAGCCAUGACAACCAUCUUCCAUGAUAUGAUACACAAAGAAAUAGAUGUGUAUGUGGAUGAUGUCAUUAUCAAAUCCAUGAGGGCCGCAUAUCACAUAGCAGACUUGAGGAAGUUCUUCGACAGGCUAAGGAGGUACAAUUUGAAGCCGAACCCCGCAAAGUGUGCAUUCAGGAUUCUCGCAUGAAAGUUCUUGGGAUUCAUCGUCAGUCGUCGAGGGAUCGAACUGGAUCCGUCUAAAGUCAAAGUUAUUCAAGACUUACCACUACCUAAGAGCAAAAAGGAUGUGAUGAGCUUCUUAGGACGUCUCAACUAUAUCAGUUGCUUUAUAGCACAGUCCACAAUCAUAUGUGAACCCAUCUUCAAGAUGCUAAGAAAGGAUGCUGAAACAAGCUGGACCGAGGAUUGUCAAAAAGCUUUCGACAAAAUCAAGGAGUACCUAUCCACACCGCCAGUUUUGGUCCCGCCAGAACCAGGAUGACCUUUGUUACUCUAUCUGUCCGUAUUAGAUGGAGCCUUCAGAUGUGUUUUGGGACAACAUAAUGAGACAGGAAGAAAGGUGCAAUCCAUAUAUUACUUGAGUAAGAAGUUUACACCUUAUGAAGCACGGUAUUCUCUACUUGAACGCACUUGUUGUGAUUUGACCUGGACAGCCCAGAAAUUGAGGCAUUACUUCUGUGCCUACACUACAUACCUCAUAUCCAAGAUGGACCCUCUAAAGUACAUGUUCCAGAAACCCAUGCCGAUUGGAAAGUUGGACAAAUGGCAGAUAUUGUUGAGUGAGUUCGAUAUCAUCCACGUAACUCAAAAGGCGGUCAAAGGACAAGCAUUGGUAGAUCAUCUUGCUAAAAAUCUCGUGGGAGGAGAAUACGAACCUUUGAAAACAUAUUUUCUGAUGAAGAAGUACCAUUCAUAGGAGAGGACAUUACCGAGGCAUAUAACGGUUGGAGGAUGUUCUUUGACAGAGCCGCAAAUUUCAAAGGAGUGGACAUUGGAGCAAUUUUGGUAUCAGAAACGGGUCAGCAUUAUCUGAUAUCUGCUAAACUCAGAUUUCCCUACACCAACAACAUGGUAAAGUAUGAAGCCUGCACUAGGACUCAACAUGGCAGUUGACACGAACAUUCAGGAGUUGUUAGUGAUCGGUGAUUCAGAUUUGCUCGUGCACCAGGUACAAGAAGCGUGGGCCACCAAGAAUUCCAAGAUAUUGCCAUAUCUGCACCAUGUGCAGGAAUUGAGAAAGAGGUUCACCAAUAUAGAAUUCCAACAUGUGCCCAGAAUUCAGAAUGAUUUUGCUGAUGAAUUGGCUACCUUGUCAUCUAUGAUACAACAUCCAGAUAAGAAUUACAAUGAUCCCAUUCCGGUGAGGAUCCAUAAUAUGCCGAAAUAUUGUGCUCAUGUCGAGGAAGAAGCAGAUGGAAAGCCCUAGUUCCAUGACAUCAAAGAGUACUUAUCAAAAGGAGAAUACCCGGAGCAUGCAAAUCAGACUCAGAAAUGCACACUCCGGAGAUUGUCAAAUCACUUCUUCCACAAUAGAGGGAACUUGUACGGAAGAACUCUUGAUUUGGGUUUACUAAGAUGUGUUAACACGAAGGAUAUGCAUGUUGGGACCUUUGGCCCACAUAUGAAUGGUUUUGUCUUGGCUAAGAAGAUACUCAGGGCCGGUUACUUUUGGAUGACCAUGGAGACGGAUUGCAUCCAGUAUGUCUGCAAAUGCUUUCAAUGUCAAGUGCAUGCCGAUAUGAUAAAAGUGCCGCCAAACGAUCUCAACGCAACAAGCUCACCUUGGCCAUUCGCCGCUUGGGGAAUGGAUGUUAUUGGUCCAAUUAAGCCCACUGCUUCAAACGGGCACAGGUUCAUUCUGGUAGCCAUUGAUUACUUCACAAAUGGGUAGAGGUUGCAUCUUACAAAGCUGUAACCAAGAAAGUCCUCGCAAAUUUUGUCAAGGAUCGUAUUGUUUGCCGUUUUGGAGUUCCCGAAUCAAUUAUUACUAAUAAUGUCGCCAAUCUCAACACUGAUAUAAACCUCAGAUGAAUGGAGACGUAGAAGCCGCCAAUAAAAACAUCAAGAAGAUACUGAGGAAAAUGGUAGAAAACCACAGACAAUGGCAUGAGAAGUUACCUUUUGCUUUAUUUGGAUACCGCAUCAUGGUUUGCACAUCAAUCGGGGCAACUCCCUACAUGUUGGUUUAUGGUACCGAGGCUGUCAUCCCAGUCUAGGUGGAGAUUCCUUCUUUAAGAAUCAUACAGGAAGCUGAACUCAGCGAUGCAGAGUGGAUAAGGAGUCACUAUUAACAAUUGGCCCUUAUCUAUGGAAAGAGGAUGAACGCAGUAUGUCACAGCCAACUUUACCAGAACAGAAUGUCUAGAGCUUUCAACAAAAGAGUCAAACCAAGAUAGUUCGCACCAGGGCAGCUGGUAUUGAAGAAGAUCUUCCCACAUCAAGAUGAAGCCAAAUGAAAAUUCUCGCCCAACUGGCAAGGUCUGUACAUGGUCCAUAGGGUGCUAAUAGGAGGAGCACUCAUACUUGCAGAAAUGGAUGGAGAAAUUUGGCCAAAACCAAUCAAUUCAGACGCAGUCAAGAGAUACUAUGCUUAAAUUACUUUACAUUUUUCUUAUGAUAUAAUUGAACUACACUUGACUUGAUUCCCAUUUAAAAGGGGAUACGUAGGCAGCCUUAUGGGUUCGGUCAUAUCAUAAUAAAAUUUUCAUUUUCCCCCAACCUUAGAAACUGGGGCAGAAUUUUGAGGAGGACCCUCAAAAUUCCGGGGCAAGUCCAGCCAACACCAACAUGUAUCAGACGAUCAGUAACCAGUUAAGAAACUGGGGCAGAAUUUUGAGAAGGAUUCUCAAAAUUCCGGAGAAGGUUCAGCAAGAUCCAUUAUCAGCAAUCGGUCAAAGAUCAUCUACCAAACUGGAGCAUAAUUUUGAGGACCCUCAAAAUUCUGAUAUGAGAGAGUUGUAAUGCCUUCGAGAUGUGUUACAGUCACUAGUUCUUCAAAAAUUACUUGAUAUAUUAAUACGUUUUCAAAAUAACUCUAUUUUUAUCAAUAGUUACAUAUUUUUGAAAACUCUAUUUCCAUAACAGUCAGGUGUCACACAGGGGAACUCAAAAGGCCUUCAGAAUGGAUCAAAGCAAAGUCGACUGAUAGAAAUACGAACCAACCUCCCCCCCCCCCCACAAAACUUACAGUUGUUUUUUGAACGAAGGCACAUCCGACGUAACGAUAACAUCCACGUAGCAAGAUUACUAUCAAUUAGGCCAUCAGACACUGAAUAUAUCUCCAGCUAAAACAUAUACUAUCCUUAUUUGCUAAGUGCUCUUUGCACGAGGCUAAUCCUUGCCUCCAUAACUGCAUGAGGCUAAUCCUUGCCUCCAUAACUACAUGAGGCUAAUCCUUGCCUCCAUAACUGCAUGAGUCUAAUCCCUGCCUCCUUAUUUGCAUGAGUCUAAUCCUUGACUCCAUACCUGCAUGAGGCUAAUCCCUGCCUCUUUAUUUGCAUGAGUAUAAUCCUUGACUCCAUAAUUGCAUGAGGCUAAUUCUUGCCUCCCUAUUUGCAUGAGUCUAAUCCUUCACUCUAUCAACUGCAUGAGNNNNNNNNNNNNNNNNNNNNNNNNNCUAAUCCCUGACUCUAUACUUGCAUGAGGCUAAUCCUUGCCUCCCCGUUUGCACAAGGCUAAUCUCUGCCUCCCCAUUUGCAUGAGUCUAAUCCUUGACUCCAUGAGGCUAAUCCUUGCCUCCAUACUUGCACGAGGAUAAUCCCUACCUCCAUAUCUGCAUGAGGCUAAUCUUUGCCUCCAUAUUUUCAUGAGGCUAAUCCAUGCCUCCAUACUUACAUGAGGCUAAUCCAUGCCUCCACACUCGCAUGAGGCUAAUCCUUGCCUCUAUAUUUGCAUGAGGCUAAUCCCUGCCUCCAUACUUGCAUGAGGCUAAUCCCUACCUCUAUAUUUUCAUGAGGCAAAUCCCUGCCUCCAUUUGCAUGGGACUAAGCAUUGUCCCUCAUUGCAUAAAUAUUGCUUUAUCCCCGUACUAUCUAUUUGCUUUUUGAUCGGGCUAAGCUCUACCCUUCAUUUUACAAGACUAAGCUUUGUCUUUUUAACAUCAUAUCAUUGCAUAUUAUGGGCUGAAAUAUUGCCAAUCUAUCCAAAGGCAUCAUAGUCUAAAAAGCAUCAUCCUCGUAGACGGAAGACACCAUACCAUGGCCUGAAGAUCUCUCAAAUUUGCAUAUCAUUAUUCAAAGGCGUCAUGGUUCGAAGGCACCAUUUUCAUGACCCAAAAACAUCAUUUCAUGGCAUACGAAUCUCUCAUCAAACAAUUCAUGGCUCGGGACAUCAUGGUCUAAGGACGCCAUCCCUAACCGUUCGAAGACAACUUUCAUAGUCCAACGGGAACUUGCAUCAUGUUUAAAUUUAUGCACAGUAUACAUUUGUAUUGCUUCUAUUUGAAGGUAACCCAGCGAGCAACAGCUAUCCCAGCAGGAGUGAUCCCGCUCCAGUUCUCUCAGCCAUAACAAACCUAACCAUUCCCGUAAACCGUUAACUCACCCAGCCCUAGAUGUUACGUCUGUUCUUGAAAUGACUUCAUCAGUAUACUUCGCCGAUGAAUCCGGGACUACAUACGGCCUAAUUCCUGUAAAACUAGGGAUAUGUAGGCAGCUCAGAAGCUAGGGUGCGGCCUAAUCUCUCAAACUAUUUUGCUCGGUCAAAAUUGGUCAUCAUUUCUUUACCCGAAAACUCUUUCAUCCUUCCUGGGUAAAGAGGGGAAACUAUUGAUACCUAAUUCUUUCCAAAAUAUUUUAAAAUUGUAUGUAUACCUUCAAAAUCAUGCAUUAAUAGAAAUUGGUAUUUUUCUAUAAUUUUUCUAUAUUUUUAUUAAUUUAUCCAGCAUUUUAUUCCCAAUAAAUAAUUACAAAAUAGCAUUACAAAUGAUUUUAGAAGCAUCUCUUGAUUUAACUUAUUAUUUAUGGUCCUAUUUAAACCAAAUAAUUCCAUAGUUAUCCAAAUUGGCACCUUUUGGCUAUAAUUGCAAUAACUUUGCAAUUAAGGCCCAAUCAUAGGAUUUUAUACUAUUUUUGACCAGAAAUUAAUCAUUUUUAUUCUUAAAUACUAAGUAAUCAUUUUUAAUUAUUUUCUAUGCAUAAAAUUUAUUUUGUACAAUUAUCAGCUAUUUUUAUAAAUUAUUUUAUUUAAUUUAAUUAGGUAUUUAACAAAUAGCCCCAUUUUAUUUCAAUUAUGACCUAAUUAACCAGCCCCAAAACCCCAAUCAAAUCAGCCCAAGACCCAGGUCAUUGAUCAUUUCUGAUCAAUGGUCCAGAUUAAUUCCUUCCCUAAUUAACCUAAAAGACUACCCCCCCCCCCCCAUUUCUCUCAUUUUCUCUCUUUCACUCCACCGUUACACUCUCUCAUUCUCUCUUAAGCCCUCUGCUAAAUCUAAGCUUCUACUCAUCGGCCGUUGGCUAGCCGGUAUUAAUGGUGGUUCCACCACCACCCCUAGCCUUCAUGGCUCUCCCACAUGCCGGAUCCUUGCCACCUUGAGGCCCUCAAAGGAACCAGAAGGCGGUUCACUCACCUCCCAUGGUUUCUAUGUCAUUCACAGGUCGUCCAUGGCCGUCCUAGUAAGAUUUUACCAUCUCCGGCUAGAACCUGUGGUUUCUAGGCUGGUUCUCUUUCUUUAUGGGUUGUCUCUAUGAAACCCUAACUACUAGCUCCCGAUUUCUUAGAUCUGUAAUAGAUCUGAGUAUAUUUUGAGUGAUCUUUACUGUUUUCUUGAUAAUCUUUCCGACUUUUCAAAAAUAUCUCUUCAUCUUCAAAACUAGCGUUUCUUAACCUCUUUUCAAAAUGACUUUCCUCUGAUUUUCUAUAUUAUUCUAUGAUUUCUACUAUGUUUAAACGGUUUAUUUAAGUUUUCCUUUUAUCUGAUUCAUUAUGUUGAAAACCCUAAUUUCUUAGUUCUAAUCCUAGGUUUCUGAGUUUGUUUUUGAUAAUAUGAUUCAACUAAUCUGUAUGUUUCUCAUGAACACUCCGUGAUUCUGAGAUCUUUACCCUAUGUUUUCUCGUUAGGUUUUUUGACUUUGACUAUUCCUGCCUAUUACGUGUUUAUUCCCAGAAAAUUUGUGGUUAUUUCCUCUCAUCAGUACCAUCAUUUACUUUGAACCCCGAAUUUAUGUGAUUCUUUUACCCUAUUCUUAUUUGCGUUAUGUUUGCUUCGUUCACUUGUGAUACUUUCCUUUGGUCAGUGUUACCUUCUAAUGGAAUCCCUAAUUCCCUAUGAUUGGUAUACUUUAUUCCCUGCUAAUUUCAAUCUAAAUAUUUUCUUGCCUUAUUUUGUGGUUGAUUAUGCUGUCAAAUUGAUUCUUAGACAUUCUCCUUAAUUAGAAUUUGUCAAACUUAGCCUCUAUUACCUGCUCUAUACUAUGCUUAUUUUCUUAUGUGUCAUGUUCAACCUCACAUUGAUUCUUUCCUUAUUUGUUAUUUGUCUGCACUGUUUGAAGUUAACUCCCUUAAUUAAGGGAGUACUUAUACUGAUUUUUAUAUUAAUUGAUACCUAGUUCCAUAAUUACUGCUUGACUUUGAUUCUUACCUUAUUAUUCUACCUAGUUUCAAACUAUAUAUAUGCUCUCUCAUUAACACACAGAGACACGAGCACAUUGGUUCAAAACUCUCUCUCUCUCACUCAAAGCUUUUUGCCCUCUUUUAUGAUUACUUAAUACUGUUUUAAGUUAGCCGGCUGCAAGCCAAGGCUAACUAUUGUGCUCUCCUAUUCUUCACUUUUUGUUUGCUGUCACUUUACUGGUAUGUCCUGAUUUCAAUUUAAGUUCCAACACUAAUAUGUUUCAUUUACUGCUUCAGCUUAUCAUGUUUUUGAUUUGUUUCUAUCUAUGGUUAUGUUGUUCAAUGUGUAAUUGACAUGCUUGCAUUAUGGCUUCAUCUGGCAUGCUAGUUCUACUCCCCUGGUAAUCUGUUUCAAUAUGACCCUAUCCUGCUUUGAAUACUUAUGUACUUGUUGUCCAGUUUUGACAUGCACUUACUUUGCAAACUGAACUAUCACUAUGAUUAUUUCUGAAAUCCAUACUGUGUUGAUAUCACUAGCUAUUCCCUAAUACCAUAAACCCUCACAAGGAUUGCUAUGCUACUGACUGAACUAUCACUAUGUGUUUACCUGCAUGACCUAUGUGUCCCCAAAACCCUUGACACCUGUUUGUGCUUGCUGAACCUGCUUUGGUUCUAUGAUCUCUAGCUGUGUAUGAACCUAUUUUGGGGGUGAUGUGCUUGGACUAUUGUUUGCUACUCCACUCUUUUUUCAAAACUGUCUCUGUUGUCAUUUACAAAACUAUUUCAAACAAGUCCCUUUUUCAAAUUGUUUCCCUGCUUAAAUCCUUUCAAGCACUCUCACAUCUACUCUUAGGUUUUAAGUUCUGCCCCUCUAAUGUGUGACUGCUUAGGGAUCCCUAUGAGAUCCCUCUGAACUCUGAUACAUUAGAGUCGGCCCUUCUACACUGCACUUACUCAAUUAUGGCUAUGAAAUCUGGGUGUGAGCACUGCCCGAGAUCCCUUGAGGUCCUUAAGGAACUCUGACACACCCGGAUUAUAUGAAAGGCUAUGAGGCAAUCUUGCAUUGGAAAUUUUGGAAAUCUGGGCCUAUUGGUAGGCUUCCUAUAGAGUAACUUCUUAUUUUUCUUAUCUACUUAUGUAAUUCAUUCGAUAUUGGCCUGUAAUAAUUUGUAAACGAACAUUUGGGUCGGAUAGUGAAAAUAGGAGGGUAGCUAUACAUGUUAUCAAUAUCAUUGGGUAGAAAACAUGCUUUAGGUUUAUAUUCUCCUGUAUCUGCAUUAGAACUCAUGUUUAGGACCAAUACAUGCAAAAGCAUAUCAUGUAUUAGAAACCAUGCUCCUAGGUUCCAUGUCUACUGCUUUCAGCAUCUCACUUUGACAUCUCUAUUAUCACUUAGAAAUCCCGUUUCUAGGAUAAACGACAUUAAAGAUAAAUUGUCACCUAUAUGUUUUGAAAUCAUGCUGUAACCUGUUGUGCAUUUAGAAAUCUUACUUUAGAAAUUCUGCAUAUAAACCAUUUUGAACUUUGUACAUACAUCUUAGAUACCAUGCUUUAGGAUCUCAUUCGUACUUGUUCAGUCACACCUAGUGUAAACCAUUGAUUAUGAAAUAUUUAAAAACAACUUCACAUUUGAUUAUCCUGUUUAAAAUAAACUAGUAAUAAUCCCUGCAUUUUAUAACACUUAGAACAGUAUGCUUUUAGGUAAAAUAACUCCUUCAUUGUUCUAAUAGUUCUGGUAACAAUUGUGCAUUAUCCUAUGCCUAAGCAAGCCUUAGGUAAUCCAAUUUCUUAUAAAAUUGGAAACUGCCCAUUUGUGUGUACUGCUUAAUGAUUAGCAGGCUUAGAAUCAGUAGGCAAACUGAUUAGGGCCCCUUCUUCUGAGUUAUAAAAUGAACAUGCAUAUCUACUUUGUUCUGAUACUCACCUAGACAUCAUGUCUUAGGAUACUGUUGCCCUUAUCUGUGAUUGAGUCGUGCUAUUUACGUGCCUUAUUUGUGGAGGUAAACCGAGCCUUUUAUUUGCUCCUUCCUAUUCUUAUUUGCUAAGAGUCCUACGUGUUAUUGCUUGUCGCCUUAGUAUUUUUCCUUUAAAACCUUAGGGGUCGGUCUAGAACUGCCUAUAGGUAGAGGCCCUAAUUCCCUCCAGGACCAUUAAGAAGGGACAGGUAACAACACAUAUAGGGUCGUUAAACAACACUCGCUUUAGUUACCACUAAGGGAUGGGUAAUGGGUAGAUAUGGAUAUGAUGAUUAUCCGCUAAUGUCACGUGUAGCCCUUCAAUGAGGAGUGUUUACCGGACAUUGUGUGGGGUGAUCCUGUAGGCUAACCAACCUAGGACCCCCUCCUUUCUUUAAUCCCUUUUGUUUAAAACUUUGUUUUAUAUACAACUUGUUCAAAACCUUUGUCUCAUUAUUUGAGUUACACAACGUCCAGCGUGUUGUACCUGCAAAUUAUUUGAUUCAACUAUUUAUUUAUUAAUGGACUAAUUUGUGAAUAUAAGAUUUGUCGGGGCCCACAGUUGUGGACCAAGAGGGGUGCCUAACACCUUCCCCUCAAGGCCAUUUCGUGCCCUUACCCUAAUCUUUGGUAAUGCAAACUAGUCUAAGAGUUAAUUGCUCUAGGUGCCCUAAUGCACCAUAAUACAUUAGGUGGCGACUCUUCAAAUAUCAAAUUCCCAAAAGCAAAUGAGUUAUUACCCCCCAUGAAUGUUGAAGCCCAGACUCUCUCCGUGGAGGGAAAAAGGGGGCGCGACACCUGCCCGUUCGCAGGUGCGUUGAAUCUCUCGCUCCUGUGGAUCCUGGUCAGCCUUCUCUUGUCAACUUUUGCAGAUCGUGGCGCGCACCAACGAGCUCAUACCUACGGGCGGUCAAGCACAGGUGCAAUUAUACCAGCAGUUGGAGCUUCAGAUGUUGCUCCCAAGUCCCAACUUGGUCUGAGCCAUGUCCGAUUAGCACCUGGGCCCUCGAGGCCCCGCCCGAACAUACCAACAAGUUUGGAAUUAUAAAACGGACUCGCUCGAACUCUCGGAAUUCCCCAAACAACAUCAAAACUAAGAUUCACACCCCCAAACCAAUUGAAUCAAAAAUAUGAACUUUAAGUUCUUCAAUUUACUCCCAAUGCGCCGAAACGUACUUCAACUACUUGGAAUGACACCAAAUUUUGCGUGCAAGUCUUAAAUGACAUUAUGGAACUAUUGUUAGUCUCGAAAUUCUAUUUGGACCUUGAUGUCACCAAAACAUACUUCAAACCAAAUUUAAAGAACUUCAAAGAACCAACUUUCACUAUUAGGCACUGAAAUGCUCCCGGGUCAUCCAAAACCCGAUCCAAACAUACGCCCAACUACAAACCUAUUGGAACCGUCAAAUCCCUAUUCCGAUGUUGUUUGCUCAAAAUGUUGACUGAAGUCAAACUUAUCCUUUUUAGCCAACCUUAAGGAACCAAGUGUUCCGAUUUUAACACGAACCCUUCCAAUUUCUGAACUACUAUCCCCGUAAGUUAUAAAAUAGUAAAAGCACAUACAAGAAGUAUUAUUUAGGGGAAUCAAAAUGACUGAUCGGGUCGUUACGUUCUCCACCUCGUAAACAAAUGUUCAUCCUCGAGCGGGUCUAGAAUUAUACUUGGAGCGCUGAAUAAGUGUGGUUAUUUGCUCCAGAUAUCCUCCUCGGCCUCCCAUAUCACCUCCUCAACUAGUUGUCCCCUCUACUGAACCUUUACCACGGCAAUCCUUUUCGACCUUGUAAGGUCCCAAAAAACUUCACUAUGUAAUUUAAGGUUUUGUGGUGUCAAGGUAGGCUAAUACAUUGUAUUUUCGGAGUUUUGGGUUUAACAAUGUGUUGGGGAGUUGAAAUUUUUCAUCACGGCUAGGCCAGGCGAUAGCUAGGCUGGACUAGGCUUUAAGCUAGCGAGGCCAGGCUAGACCAGGCUUUAGCCAGGCGACGACAUGUCUGUAGCCCGGUCCAAAAUCUUGGACUAUCCAUUCUUCUAUCUUUAUAACUCGACCCAACUUCAUUAAAUACACGUAAUGGGUUAUUUUUGAGCAAAAAUCUGAUUCUUUAGAGUUAGAGAAGGAUCGCUAGAGUGAAAAAAAUGAUCUCCAUUAAAUCAUUCUUCAAUUCAUACACAAAUCUUUGAAUAUUAACAAGGAAAACACACCAUAUCUCUAUCCUUGAGGUCAGAUUCUACACCCAAACCCUUAAUUUUGAACUUUAGCUAAAUAUGGGAAAUUAUAAACAAAUUUUGUGGGUAUUGGAGUUGUUAUCUAGGUUGCAUGUGUUAUCGAUGGGUGUAGCAACAUUGUUGAGCUAAAAUUGUUUAAGGAUGGGUUGAAGGUUGAUGAAAUCCUCCAUAAAGGGACCUUAAAGACUUAAUGCACACCUAGUGUUUGAUGGAAUGCUCAAACGAGCUAAGACUAUGAAUAUCUUCCAAAUUUGUGUUCAAUUUUGUUAUAUCUCGAAAUAGAUUGGGAUUGCUAGGAUUUCCGGAAUGUUAUGGUAGUUUAAGAAAAGGCUCAAGCAAGGUAUGUACGGAUAAAACUCCCUCUUCUUAGAAAUUGACCCCCCCCCCCCCCCCCCCCCCGCUGGUGUCCAUGCAAAUGUUGUAAGUUUCGAAAAUUGAUUGAUGUACUAGUUGCUAUUUCAAAUGAAUUUGUAUUGCAAGAAUAUAUGUGCAAGGUGUGUCUCAAUGCUUUCAUUAUGCUAUUUUGUCAAUUGAGAAUAUGUGAAUAAUGUGGAACAUGUGCUAAAAUGCCUAGACUUCAAGUCGAGUUUGAAUUGAGAUUGUUAUGCCGAAAUAUGUAAAAUCUUCUUUAUGCUUACGAUCGAUAAUUGCUCUCGUAUGUGCUUAUUAUCUUGAAUUGAAAGGUUCAAUAUUGAAAGUGGCAACGAUGUGAAAUAUGGGGGAAGAGAGUUUGAGUUAUGAAAUGUGGCCUAGUGCCAAGUAUGAUCGAUAUGUGUGAUAUAAACUUGAAAUGAGAUAAUUGAUGAAACAUGGGAAUGUCUGGGUGAGAUGGCCUAGCAGAUUGGGCCGUAAUCAGAAACCAUGCCGCACACAUGGAGGUACUAUGCUAAUAUUGAAACUGGAAAGUGACAAUGAAAUUAUGAUUGAGGUACAUGUCUCAAAUGAGACAACCUAGCCAAUCGGGUCGUGAUCGGACUCCGCGUACGAAAGCGGUGGUAUUGUGGAUGAUGAUGUAACAGAAUUAAAAUGUACCAACCUAAGGUUAUGAAAAAUCAUUUGCAAGCUAUGUGAUCCUCAAUUUGAUGUUGUAGUGUUGUUUGAGGCUUAUGUUGAUCCUUAUGAUUAUCUUCUUCUUGUAUUGUUGUUCUUUCUAAUGAGAUGGUGCUUAUUUAUACAUACUAGUACUACUCGACAGUACUAACAUCCCUUUUGCCGGGGCCGCUACAUCUUUGAAUGAAUGUAGGUGGUUCCGUAGCAGACAGUGCCGAUCGCAGAUAGCGGUGCAUCCUCAUCUCAGUAGUCUUGGUGAGCCCCCUUUCUUCUAGGGGUCAUGCAGUAUAUCUUUUGUUAUAAGUUACCACAUUUUGAGGUAUAGUCGGGUCCUUGUUGCCGGCAUUAUCAUAACUAUUUUUUGUAUCUUUAGAGGCUCCGUAGACAUUUGUGUGGGUUAUAUAUGGGUGUUGGAUGGAUCACUGGACUAUGUUGUAAUUGUAAACCCUUGUUCUACUAAACUGUAAACCGUAUGAAAUUUUGGGAAUUUAACUAUGGUAUAAGGAAAUUAGGGUAUGAAGAACUAGCAAUAUUCUAUGUACGGUCUCUCCUAUUGUCUAAUUAAUGAAAGCAUAUUUUCUUGAUCAUAACGAGUUGGGUAGAAAAUGUCCAAAAAGGCUUGCUCAGUCUGGUUCACUCGGUUGGGCGUCGGUCGCACCUCCCGAGGAUGGAGCGUGACAAACUUGGUAUCAAAGCCUAAGGUUUUAAAGUGUCCUAGGAUGUCUCGAAGCCGUGUCUAGUAGAGUCCUUUUUAUAGGUAUGUUGUCGACCGCAUCUAUAAGUUGGAGGCUACUUGGACAUUUAGGAAUAAUACCCUUCUUUGCUUAUUCGUAUCGUGCGAUAGAACUGAAUGUGAGGUUGUUCUCCUAUAACUCGUGCAUUGUUCUAAAUUUCAGUAAAUGGCACCUAAGAAGAAGGCAAGAACUGUCCAAGGGGCCAACGCUGCUCCAAGAGCGGCAGUCGACUUGGUAAUUGAUGAUGCAGGUGUGAACCCAAGGGGUAAGGACAUUCCCCUGACUACUACACUGCCCGGUUCCACCACACCAGUUCCUACAUCUACUGAGGGUGCUACUAUCCCUCCCACUGAUAUUCCUGUUCCUCUUUCAGCCCCAGUUUCCGAUUCUCGUAUUUCUGAUGGGGAUUUUAGGGGAGCUAUCCAGAUGUUGACUUAGCUAGUGGCCUCUCAGGCCCAGAGAUCAAAUGUUGCACCCAGUUCUUCUAGCCAGCAAAGGGAUUCCACCAGUUCUAGGGUGAACAGAUUUCUUCAGCUAGAUCCUCCAGUGUUUAUGGGUGUAAAUCCCGAGGAGGACCCCCAGGAUUUUAUUGAUGAGAUGCACAAAACCCUCAGGGUUAUGUGUGAAACUGAGACAAAGGGAGUAGAGUUGGUUGCCUAUCAUUCGAAAGGGGUGGCCUAUUCGUUGUUUGAGUUGUGGGAAGAUUCUCGUGAGGAAGGGAGCCCUCCGGCAAGGUGGAGUAAGUUUGUCGACGCCUCUAUAGAUCAUUUCCUGCCUGCUGAGACAAGGGCAGCCCGUGCAGUGGAGUUUGAGAGUCUAAAUCAAGGUAGCAGGAGUGUGUGGGAGUACCACAUGGAGUUUCCACGCCUGUCCAAGUAUGCUAUUCACAUGUUGCCCACUAAGGAGGCUAGGGUGUGUGGGUUUGUUCAGGGCCUUAGUUCUUUGACCAUUAAUGAGGCUUCUACAUCUGCCUUGAAUUCUGACAUGAAUUAUGGAAAGAUGGUGGCAUUUUCUCAGGCCACAGAGGACCGCAAAUUGAAGAACAUGAUGGAAUGAGAGGGUAACAGCAAGGUACGGUCUACGGCCAAUUUCGGGGAGUCAUUUGGUGGGGGAAGGUCAUCUUUCAAGGGAGGAUCAUCAGGACCAUCCCUGUCUAUUGCACAAUCUUCAACCAGUGCACCACCAUCAAGGCCCAUCCAGAAGCAGCAAUGGAGUCUUUUCAGGCCCAGUCAAGGCGGUAGGGGACCCCACCAGUAGGGUCGGUUAGGAGGGAGAGCCUAAUAGCAGCAAAGGCCCCCGGGUGCGGGAAGAUGCACUCAAGGAUCUGCUACAUGGAGUUACCCAUAUACUAUGGGUAUGGGAUGAGGGGCCAUAUUCAGAGGCAUUAUCGUGUAUCCUGCCAGGGUCCAGGUAAGGGCACAACAUAGCCAGCCAGCCCAGCAGCUACUACAUCUUCAACACCCUCUCCAGUUCGAGGUAUUUCAGCAUUCGUAGGGCGUGGUACAGCUAGGGGUGGUGCAUAGGGUUCAGGAGGACCCAGUCGAUUCUAUGCUAUGAGUGGUCGCCAGAGUGCAGAGGCUUCUCCAGAUGUUGUUACAGGUAUUCUGACUGUACAAUCUCACGAUGUGUAUGCUCUUUUAUUGAUCCUGGUUCCACCUUGUCCUAUGUUACCCCUUAUAUUUCUAUGGAAUUUGGAACAGAGCUGGAACAGCUUUAUGAGCCAUUCUUGGUAUGUACUCCGGUUGGUGAGUCUAUUACGGUCGUGUGAGUUUAUAGCUAUUGUGUUGUUACAGUAUAUGGUCGGGAUACCAUGGCUGAUCUCAUUGAAUUGGGGAUGGUUGAUUUUGAUGUAAUAAUAGGGAUGGAUUGGAUUUAUUCAUGUUUUGCCAAACUUGAUUGUCGGACUAGAACUAUGAGGCUUGAAUUCCUAAUGAGCCAGUUGUUGAAUGGAAGGGAGAUAAUGUAGUACCGAAGGGUCGAUUUAUUUCUUACCUUAAGACCACUAAGAUGAUCAAGAAGGGGUGUAUCUAUCAUUUAGUCCAGGUUACGGACACCGAAGUCGAGGCACAUAGCCUUGAGUCAGUGCCAGUUGUGAAUGAAUUUUUGGACGUCUUUCCAGAUGAGCUCCCUGGGAUCCCACUAGACAUAGAGAUUGACUUUGGGAUCAAUGUAAUGCCAGACACGCAGCCUACAUUAAUUCCACCUUAUAUAAUGGCACCGACAGAAUUGAAGGAAUUGAAGGAACGAUUAAAGGAUUUGUUAAAGAAAGGUUUCAUCCGGCCGAGUGUGUUGUCGUGGGGCACACUGAUUUUGUUUGUACGGAAUAAAGAUGGGUCGCUACGGAUGUGUAUCAACUACCGACAACUCAACAAAGUCACAAUCAAAAAUAAGUACCCUCUACCAAGGAUAGAUGAUUUGUUUGAUAAAUUGUAAGGUGCUAAGUGCUUCUUAAAAAUUGACUUACGGUCCGGGUAUCAUCAAUUGAAGAUAAGGGAGCAGGAUAUUCCAAAAACAACCUUUAGAACAUGGUAUAGGCACUUUGAAUUUCUGGUGAUGUCUUUCGGGCUAACAAAUGCCCCGGCAGCUUUUAUGGAUCUUAUGAAUCGAGUCUUUAAGCCUUUUCUAGACUCCUUUGUGAUAGUGUUUAUUGACGAUAUUCUUGUGUAUUCCCGAAGUCAAGAAGACCAUGCUGGCCAUCUUAGGGUAGAUCUACAAACUCUUCAAUAGCACCAGUUGUAUGCAAAGUUUUCGAAAUGUGAAUUUUGGCUUGAAUAUGUCACGUUCUUGGGUGAUAUCAUCUCCAGGGAAAGAAUUAUGGUUGAUCCUCAAAAGGUUUCGGCGAUGAUGAAUUGGCUAGACCUACUAGUCCAACAGAGAUUCGCACUUUCUUGGGUUUGGCGGAUAUUAUAGGAGGUUUGUAGAGGGAUUUUCUACUCUUACCUCUCCAUUAACUAAAUUGACACAAAAAGCGGUUAAGUUCUAGUGGUCCGAUGCUGGUGAAAGGAGCUUCCAAUAAUUGAAAUCAAGAUUGACUACAGUGCCGGUAUUGACCCUGCCAGAGGGUACAUAUGGGUUUGUGGUAUAUUGAGAUGCUUUAAGGAUUGGGCUUGGGUGUGUGUUAAUGCAACACGGGUAGGUUAUAGCUUACGCUUCUAGGCAACUCAAGAAUCAUGAAAAGAACUAUCUCACCCAUGACUUAGAGCUUGCAACGGUGGUAUUUGCACUAAAUAUUUGACGACAUUAUUUGUAUAGGGUCCAUGUGGAUGUAUUUACGGAUCACAAGAGCCUUCAAUAUAUUUUCGAAACAAAAGGAGUUGAAUCUGAGGAAGAGAAGAUGGCUUGAGUUACUCAAGGAUUAUGAUAUCGAUAUUCUCUAUUACCCGUGAAAAGCCAAUAUUGUGGCAGAUGCUCUUAGUUGGAAAUAUAUGGGAAAUUUGGCCCACUUGGAGGCGUAUCAAAGGUCGUUGGCUAGAGAGGUUCACCAGUUCUCUAGUUUGGGAGUUUGUCUUGCGGACUCUAAUGAAGGAGGAGUAAUUGUGCAGAAUAGAGUUGAAUCAUCACUUGUGGCGGAAGUGAAGGAGAAACAAUACAACGAUCCAUUGUUGAUACAAUUGAAGGAAGGGAUUCAUAAACAUAAAACUAUAGUUGUUUCUCUUGACAUGGAAGAUGGUACACUACGGUACCAGGGCGUCUAUGUGUUCCAGAUGUAGAUGGUCUCUGGGAGAGAAUAAUGACCGAGGCUCACACUUCUAGAUAUUUCGUGCACCCAGGUUCUAUAAAGAUGUAUUAUGAUCUUAAGGAAGUGUAUUGGUGGAAUGACAUGAAGAGGAGUGUAGCGGACUUUGUGGCAAAAUGUCCAAACUGUCAGCAAGUGAAGGUCGAACACCAAAGGCCCGGUGGAUUGGCACAGAACAUAGAAAUUCCAAUGUGGAAGUGGGAAAUGAUUAAUAUGGACUUUGUGGUAGGACUAUGCGCACUCCGUGCAAGUUCGACUCAAUUUGGGUAAUCGUGGAUCGACUCACGAAAUCAGCGCACUUCUUGCCAGUCAAAUCUACUAACACAAUGGAACAAUAUGCUCAGUUGUAUAUCAAAGAAAUAGUCAGGUUGCAUGGUGUUGACAUCCAAUUUUGACCCUCCUUUCUUUCAAACUAUUUCUUUAAGCUUCUAAUAUUACUAAUAAUUUAAGACUAAUUAUUUUAUAGUUGUUAUCCCAAGAUAGACCUAAUUAGUAUCAUUAUUUUUAUUAUUGUUAUUAUUUUUAUUAUUAUUACUAACAUUAGAUAUUAUUAUUAUUAUUAUUAUUAUUAUAGUUGUUGUUGUUGUUGUUACUUUUAUUUUCAUUCUUAUCGCCAUUUGCGAAAAGCAUAUCGUUUUCCUUUAUUUAAUUAAAUAGUAAUGUUUCUUUAAUCCUAUGGUAUAUAAAUACUUGUUCCAAAAACAUUAUAGUUCUAUACGUAUCAAUUAGUGUAAAGGCUAUUUUUAUAUGUUCACAUUACGUAGUAUUAUAUAAUAUGAUUAUUAGAAUAUUUUAUAAAAAAUUAGAUGCCCAAAGAAAUACCCAAGAAGAUAGUAGGCUAAAAACUCAAAUAUUGUCUUCUUAAUCAGUUAGCCCAAGCCUAAGUCGGCCCAAAUCUGCCCAACAAGCAGUCCAAAAUCCUCCAGUUUAGCCCAACUAUAGAACACUCUAGAACCCCAUCAAAAUUAUGUCGUUUUGAUUAAUAUUCCAUACUUUAAUCUCAGUCAUAUAAGCUCUUAAUCCAACGGCUGAAAUUCAUUCUUUCAUUCUCAAAAACCUAGACACAUUUAGCAUUUUAAUUUUUCCAUUCUCUCUCCAAAACAGACGCUUCUUCUCCUACCCUUUCCUUUUCUUCACAAAUUCCAUUGUUACUCAGCCAUGGAAGACCAUUACCAUUUUUGAACAAGAAGCUCUGUACCUCAUUUAAUUUUCUUCAACAUCAAUGUUCAAAUUUCAAACGCUUAAGAGCUUUUCACUCAAUUUCGAAAUCCCGCCCAAACCAAGAACACUAGAAAUGAGCCUAUAAAUACCCGCCUUUGAAGAGAUAUUUGACCAAGCUGAGAGCCGCCCUUUUUACCCCAAAAAUUGAAGGUCUUCAGUUGUUGUCUUCACCCUUUGAGACCAAACUCAGAGCCACCGCUCUUCCCUUCUAUAAAUUAUUCUAUGCUUAUUAACUGUUAUUUAUCUCAGAAAAAGCUUUAUUCUUUUUGACUCCCCAGCUGUUUCUGUUGGGUAUUUACCCUUGCAUAAAAUCGAUUAUCUUCAUUUAUUUUAGUCGAAUAUGCUUUUGUCCGAGAGGAAAGAGUGGUCUUAAAAUCAGAGUUCGAUAACGCAUAUAAGAUCCGUGCCUCAGUUCGCUGCUCCGCAACAGGUCAGUUUUCUUUCUAAACUGUAAUCUUCCCUUAUUUUGUUAUUAGACGUAAAGUAUUUGUUGUUUCGUCUUCAGUAGAAAUCACAUUCCUUAGUGAGUCGUGUUCUAGUUGUUUACUUACUAAAAAUGAAGAAGACAUGUUUGUUAAAAUUACUCUACAAAAUGGGUUAUGCCGUUUUAGCCAGGAAUUAUGAUCUAAGUAUAAGAGUCAUGUUUUAGGAGUUGUAUAGAAACCAUGCCUUUAAGCAUUUUAUAAGAUAGACCAUAUAUUUUUUAAAAGAUUGAGUGGUCAAUGCUUUCUUCUUUUUAUCCUUCCCCUUUUCUUUCGAAUCUACUAGUUUUGAAUAUUUUUUUUGAUUUGGUUUAAAUUGAGAUUAAUUUAUGUCCAAUGUUCUAGAUAUCAUGAAAAUAAGUAUUCGUCAUAUGUUUGAUAAAUUAUUAAGUUAAUAUGACAUUCUUGUGAUUCUUGGGUUUGUUAAAAGUAGCAUGUUAAGCGUUUUUUAUCUAAAUAUAUAUAAAUCGUGAUUUAGUUGAUGCCUAUGUCAUGUUUAGGACUCAUUUUAUUUAUAAACUCACACUUAUUUACUAGAUGUUUAUAAAUACUAUGCCUAUAGGUCCCGUUAUUUUGCAGAGAAUUUUAAGAGAGUAGAAUUCAUGUCUAGUUACUAUGAGUAUGCAAAAUUUACCAUGCCAAAUACUGUCUUUUUUGUCUGAAUGUGGAAGACUAUUGGUUCUAGGAAUAUAUAAUGCUUUGUAGUCUAUUGUUAGAUUCGUUUAACCAUAGAAGAAUACGCCUGUAGAUUUAUUGAACUAUGAAAAUUCUCUAAUGGUUAUCACUAACUGUUGAAUACAUAUUGUUGGAUUGUAAACAUAUUAUAAAUUUAAGUCUUUCCUCUCGGUACUGAAAUCUUGAUUGCAUGACAGCAUAUCUUCUUUAUUUUGAAUCCGAUAAUUUAAAGUGCAUUCACUAUGUAUUCACCUUAAAUUUACCUUUAGUAUAGAGGAUAACUAACCAAAAAAGAUUAUCAUCAGUAAUAUCUACAAGAAAUAGGGACUUAUUUACUACUAAGGUCCUGUUAUAAAUCAAAAGAAGUAUAAUACUAGUUUUAUUGCCUUUAUAUGCUAUUACUGUUAUGGAUGACUCCUAAUUCUUUAUUUUUCCUUUUCUUUGCAUGCACACUUUGGAGCAAACGGAGUCUUAAUUUGAGACUCGCAGUAGAAUCUCAUAGAGACUCAAUGUUACCCCAUCACCACAUGGAGUCAUUACAUACCAUCUUCCUUGGAGUACCGGAUAGCAAAGAAAACAAGCGAAUCGCUUGGGAUCGCCUAUGGCGGCUUUGUUUUCUACUUACUCUAUCUGAUAUUUUUAAUCUUUGUGAUUUGUUUAUUUGAACCUAUGAUUGAUGAUUAAUUUUAUCAUUUAAAAUUACAACUUUAGUUUUGACAAAGUAUUUUAUUGAAAAAAGGACUUAAAAGAAUAUAAUGUGCUAAGAGCUUUGGGGAGAUAGUUACCAAUUGAGUCUUUAUUCUUUUUUAUAAACUUUUGAGAAAGUAUUUUUAUAAGCUAAGACAGAAUUUGAAUAUAUUUUCAAAUCAAUUGACUCUUUACUCAAAAGGACGUCUUCUUCACGAUAAGCUUUUUGAUAAAUUUGAGUUGAAUAUUUAACCAAACUACUUCGGAACUUUGAUCCAUUUCCUAAGUAAAAAAGACUCUUUUUCUCAAGUUUAGUUUUAAUAAAAUUUCAAUCCAACAUGUAAUGUUUUUUUUGGAAACCUAAGCAUAUUUUGCUAAUUCAAGAUAUUUAGAUUUGGAUUUGAAAUUUGAUUUCUUUUAAAAAACGUUCUAGUCCAUUGAGAUUCUUUCUGGAGUCACUUUUUUAGCCAUAAACUAACCUAAGUUUGCGGGUUAACUAUUUUUAAUGGAUCUUAAAAGGUGCCUUACCCCUUCCUUUUAAGAUAACUAGAACCCUUACCUAGAAUUUUUAAGACUAAGCAGACCAUAUAAAUUAGAGUUAACUUUAAGCAUUACUUAGUUACAAUUGGUGUCCUAAUUCACCAUUAACAUAAUUAGGUGGCGACUCUCUUAAUUAAUUAACCUCAGAAUUACCAAUAUGUUACACUCUAAUUUAACCCGUGUUAAAAAGGGGUAUAACACAUGGCACCCCAGUUUCUAUCAUUUCUGACCGAGGGGCACAGUUCACGGCUACCUUUUGGAAGAAAUUUCAGCAAAGUUUGGGUACUCAGGUGAAUCUUAGUACAACCUUUCAUCCUCAGACUGACGGGCAAGCAGAAAAGACUAUUCAGACAAUCAAGAAUAUGUUGCGCGCUUGUAUUUUUGACUUCAAGGGUAGCUGGGAUGAUCAUUUAUCGCUCGUAGAAUUUUCUUGCAACAACAGUUACCAUGCUAGUAUUCAGAUGGCACCACUUGAGGCUUUAUAUGGUAGGAGAUGUAGAUCUCCCCUUGGGUGGUUCGAGAUUGGGGAAGCUGAAUUGAUAGGACCAGACCUCGUGCAUCAGGCUAUGGAGAAGUUUAAGAUCAUAAAGGAACGAUUGAAAACUGCUCAGAGUCAUCAGAAGUCCUAUUCGGAUGUUCGCCAUAGGGACUUUGAGUUCAAAGAAGAUGAUUGGGUAUUCUUGAAGGUCUCCCCCAUGAAGGGCAUAAUGCGAUUUGGAAAGAAAGGGAAAUUGAGUCCGAGGUAUCUCGGACUAUACAGAAUCAUUCAGAGGAUCGGUCAGGUGGCGUAUUAGCUAGAGCUACCAUCUGAGAUGUCAUUAGUGCACCCAGUAUUCCAUGUGUCUAUGUUGAAGAAUGUAGUUGGAGAUCUGUCGGAUAUUGUGCCAGUUGAGAUUAUAGAGGUUAAUGAAGAGUUGUCAUAUGAAGAAAUUCUAGUUUCUAUUCUUGAUAGGCAAGUCCAAAAACUAAGAAAUAAAGAAAUCUCUGUAAAAGUGUUAUGGCGAAACCAGUAGGUUGAGGAGGCCACUUGGGAGGCUGAGGAAGAAAUGAAGAAGAAGUACCCUCAUUUGUUUGAAUAACUAUGUAAUCUUUCUGUGAAACUAUUGCCUAUGAAUUUUGUAUCACUUGUGCAGUUAAUGUUAAAGGUGUUCCUUUUGGUUAUAUGUUG
rnacentral:lncRNA from 1 species